rnacentral:lncRNA from 1 species
UUUUUAUUUUGUUUCCUAGGGAGCUGUUUGGAAACCAGGAUUCGAAUGGAUAGGAUAAAAUAUGAUAGAGAUGUUGCGAAAAUAGAAGAAUUUAGCAACUUAGAGGCAAGUUGUGAGAUGUAAGACUCUCGGAUUAUCAAAUUGGAUAAUCUUGUUUCGAUGGGAUUAUUGAGUCUCAUCUGAGAGGUUGGGAUUGAACUAGGUCGGAUCAAACCCUUCUCCGUCGUGGCUCCUGAUGCCUUCGAGUUGUUAAAAUCGCUUCUAAUUAGGUCUCUUAAGGUUAGUUAUUUGCAUCUCCGAUGGCUAAUAAGUAGAAAUAACAUGUUAGGGAACUAGAAAAUCGAAGUUUGUGAGCAAUAAUGUCCUCAUCCCAGGUCAUUGUCAAUAAUGGUUGGUGCAAUGCAUACUUAUCAAUUAUUUAAACUACAAUGCAGUAUGAGUUUUUUAGGCAAUAAAAGCUUGUUUAGAUUUUUCCAGUUCAGUGAGGACAAAAUAUUGUAUUGAAAGCAGGUAAUUAAAAUUUUGUGUCCAUUUUUUUAUUACUUUUUCUUUGUUUUCCUUGUUGUAUUCAAUUAGGCGACUAGCCCUUGUACACUUCAAUAGAAUUGGUCUAUCAGUUACUAUCAACAAGUGCCCCACUUAUGUUUAAAGAAAAGCCUAAAAUUGGAGAGAAGCGAUUCUGAACACUAGCCUCUAUGCUUGGGCACAAAUUAGAGCAUGGAGAGUAAAGCCAUCAUAGUAACAUAGGUUGCUUUCAAUAAGCAUUUCAGACAAUGUGUGUUUGCCCUUUUUCAUUGAACUUCGAUGUAAAAUAGGUUCACAAGGGCUUCUGUUUAGUAUCUAAUAAGAUUUUUCAUUGAACUCACACGUUGACACAUUUUAGGAAAAAGUUAUUAGAUUAGACUAAGGCUUUGCGAUGAGUUCAACAUGUUAAACCCCGAUUAAGGUUUCAAAAUAACUCUGUUUCUCUAUAGUUUAACAGUUAGCUAGAUUUGUAGUUCACUAAUGAGAGACAGAGAAGUAAAUGGAGAUUAGGUUCGCUUAUUGCUGAUUUUUAAUCGGAUAGAGAAAUCACUAUUGUAAGUUGACAUAAUUGGUAGGUAGAUCGGAAAGAAAAGCAAGCAUAAGAUGCUGAUAUGCUUACUGCAAUGUCACUGCUUGACAAAUAUAUAAAUACUUGAUUAUUUUCUCUGCUAUGUCACAGCUGUUCUAUGAAUGUAAGUAUUUAGAUUUAGCUUUCAUGUUCCUGUCUCUUUUAAUAACAUAAGUUUAAGAAUUUUGAUUGAAGGUGACUCUAGCGGGAGUAAUGAACUUCAUAUGAAUGUAAACCACGCUCUUCUUCACAUCCUUGUACUAGUGAGGACUUUUGAAUGGCCAGCUCUGAGAACAUGUGUACCACUUUAAUAUUACCUAGUCCGGUGGAUGACUUAAUUAUAGACUCAUUAUAUCAGUUUUCAUUUUGAUAGCUCUGAGAUUGGAUAAAAUCACUAUAUAUAUUGAAACAUUCUGACCAUAACAUUGAAUUUCAGGAUCAUAGUAGCAAUUGUGACAGUCAUCGAGAAACUUGCAGACACAGUUGUUUCAUGGUAAUGAGUAACAAUAAUUCAACUUCUUAAUGCUCGUUUUCUCUCAUCAAAAGCAUUACCGUUAUGUUCCCCUUAUUUUCUAUGAAAGGGUGCCGAUGUAUGGAGAGGUGAAGCUCGCCUUCUUUGUGUACUUAUGGUAUCCAAAGACAAAGGUAACCCCAGCUAAACUCGACCAUAGACCGAGCAUGCAUCGACCAACUUACUGAUUUUAAUGCGAUUCCUUUUUUCCAUCAGGGAUCUGAUCUGGUCUACGAGACGUUCCUGCGACCAUUGGUGAUGCAGUACGAACCAGACAUUGAGCAGAGACUGCGGCAUUUGAGGGCUAAGUCAGGGCAGCUCAUCAUGUUCUACAUUAAGAAUUUCAGCGACAAAGGAACCACUCUCUUCCUCGAGGCACUCAACUAUGUGGUCUCUCAGGGUUCGCGAGUUUCGCGCUCUGAGGUAAUUUUAAUUUCAAUUUUUAAAUCCCUGCUGGUUAGUUUGCUUCUGAACUAGCAUGCGCAAUUUAUGUAGCGUAAGAUAGGUGUGCAUGGACCAAACUAAAUGGUUAGAUUAGAUCUGAUUCUUCUUUGUUUUCCAUAGGAAAAGAUUUUACGAUAAACUAACUGCAAUUGAAACAGAGAGUUUGGCUACUAAGGAUAUAUAUCGAAAAACAUUGUUUUAUUACUAAAGCUGCUUCUGUAAUGUAGAUUCCCAAGUUCAAAAUUUAAUAACAUCCAUGUGAGUUCAAAAGCAAAGAAACCGUUGUAGCGGUUGCUGCGCAUGAAUAGAAUGCUGUGAGCCAAAAACUUGUACUUGCUCUCUACUAACUUCACAUAUGCUGCUGCAUCUCAAUCUCACAGAGCUUCUUCUCAAGGAGCAAACGGUCGGCAUCGAGCCCCGUGGCGACCAAGCACUCAUCGACGGCCUACGACACACUGGGCUCCACAGCCGACGAUGUGGCCGCCGCCGAUCCCCACGCCGGCCGUCCCAAACAACGGCGACCGCCAUACAAGUAUUAGAAAAAAGAUUACAAAAAUCUACUAAAGUGAAAAAAAAAGAAAAAAAAGAAAAAAAAAGAAGAAGAUAGUAGAAGAUUGAAACCAAUGUGAAUACCGAGAUAGUAAUGCCACAGAUGAACUGCAGUUUGUUCAGUUACUGUUCUUCGCUCUCUUUCUUUUUUUGCUUGGAUAUGUAUCACGACUUGUUAGAGUUCCAAUGUUGUGAAAUUCGAAAUAAAAUUAAAUUAAAUGUGCGAAAUUAGUAGGAUAAAAUGCAUGUAUAGUGUCCAUAAUGUCCGAAUGACGUGAUAUAUAUAGAUUUUACAUUACGUAUUAAUCUCCUCCGGCUACAAGAUCGAGUACAGGGACUAUACAUUCAUUGAAUGGCCGCGGAAGCAGCCGAAGCAGCGGAGUGGAUCCAUAGCGCAGCCACGGAAGAGGAGCGGAAGGGCGGCGAAGAAGCGGCGGACGAGGCUCCGGCCGCGACCGCAGCAGCGACGGCGGGGAGGAUGCGGCGGCAAGAGCUGGAGGUAUGUGCGGGCGGCGUGCUUCACGAGGGGGUCCCGUAUCGCCAUCCUUCCUGCAGAGGCGGCGGCCGCGGCAUACUCUGGCGAUCCGACGAUGUCGCGGAGGCUGACGUAGCCCUCCUCGGAGUUGCACCGCCGGAGCUCGAAUCUGUUGUCACCGCCGUAGGCCGUGGGGAAGCGAAGCGGCCUCGGCAUUGCGUCGUCGUGGCCGCCGCACAUGCAGCAGAGCCGCGGCGGUUCCCGGUGCCUUGUGUCUAGCAUUGUAGAGAGAGAGAGAGAGAGAGAGGUGGAAAGAGUUUACGUAGGAAGAGUUUCGUACGUAUAUAAUGUAUGUAGUUUGGUAUAGUAUGCAUGUAUAUAUAUAUAUGUGACGAGAUUAGAUAAAGGGAGUAGUAGUAGUAUAUCUAAAGUUGGAGAAGUACUAAACUUGUCCUACGUUUUAGGAGGAGAUAAUAUGUUUAUAGAUAAUUCUUUCACUAAGAUAUUGAGUAAGAAUCCUAAUAUGUUUAGGGAGGGACUAGAAUUGUCAAAUUAAGAGAUUAGUUUCGGAUUAGGUAUGUUAACAAAGAAUUUUUUAAAAAAAUUUAAUUUUUAAUAUUUAAAAAUAAUUUGAUAAAAAUAUAAAAUUUAUUAUAUUCUAUAUGUAGGUGUAAAGAUAAUAUUGCUUAUUAAAUUAUUCAAGGAUCUGUAGCUAAAAAACGAUUUUUGUUAAUAUACGUGGCAGCUUGCGCUGGUGCCACGUGUCUCUUCCUCUUGCCUCACAGAUCAUGGAGGGCCCAGGUCCCUCCCAAUACUUUUAGGCCCAAGAAGGCCCAAGACCCAAUUCCACUCCAAAACCAAACGUACACCCUUACGUCCUCCACAUCCACACGUCCAUUUCUCACCAUCAGAGCCAAAAACGCCAAAUCUCCACCGCACGAUUCAUGGGCCGAGAACACACGGCCCAGUUACGAUCCACGUGGCCCACUAUAAAUCCCCCCCAAAUCCUAUCGUCUUCUUCGUCUCUCUCUCUCUCUCUCUCUCUCUCUCUCUCUUCAAUGGCCGCAGCGGCUCUGUUACUCUCCACGCUCCCGCCCACGAAACGCGACCAACUCCUCCAAACCCAACUCAAACCCUCGCUCCCCACCGUCCGUCCACCCCGGAGCCGCUUUAAGAUUCGGGCCGUGCAGGAAACGAAAGAGGAGUUGAAGAGCUCCUCCUCGUCGCCCGAGGAGAUCACCGAGAAGUACGGGCUCGAAUUUGGGCUGUGGAAGGUAUUAUUACGAAAUUUGGAAAAAAAUAUAGAAUUAUUGUGCACUAGUUAUUUAAUUAGUUUAGUACGCGGUAUUUCAUGUUCUUAAUCCGUAUUAUCCCUUUCGUUAUAUUGUUUUUGUAGUAAAAUUUGUUUGAUUUGAUUUAUCCAAAGCUGUUUUAAAAUUCAAAAUUUGAAUGUUUUAUUUAUCCUCCUUAUAAAUUAUGUAGUUUUUAAAAUAAAAAAUUUAUUAAAAUAAAUAAUUAGUUUAAAUAUUGAAGUUAAAUUUUUUUUUGUGAUGGAUUAAAAUUAAACGAAUUGAAUGGGUAGAUAGUAAAAUCAAAAUUUUAAAAAAUUGUAUUGUCGAUUCAAAAUAAUUCAGAUAAUGUACAUUUGCUCCCAUGGUUAUUAGCGCACAUGUUAGGAACUUGUGAUUUAUCUAAUUUUUAUGGUGCACUUGAACGAAUGUGUUAGAAAAAUAAAAAUAAAAAUAAAAAUAAAAAAUUAUGCACCAACUUUUUCGGCGAUUAUAUUGUCUAGUUCAAACUUCAAGCUGCUUUGAAAUUCGAGCACCGUUACAGUAGAGUCACCAUAUAUACUCGUCUUUUUCUGUAAAAUGUUAUUUAUUGUUUCCUACUAAAUUGAUCUUUUUUGGUAGUAGUAGUAAUUAAAUAUUUUGCGAAUACAAUUGUUUGUGAAAAUGUGGAUUUGGUGUCUUUUUGGGUUGUAGAUAUUUAGUUCUAAGGAGAGAGGAGGAGGAGGAGGAGAUGGAGAAGGGAAAGAGAAGUCCAAAGGGGAUCAAGCAAAGGAACUUUUAGCUAAGUAUGGGGGAGCUUAUUUGGCUACUUCAAUAACCCUCUCUCUUAUCUCUUUCGCCCUCUGCUACAUUUUGAUUAGUGCUGGGAUUGAUGUGCAAGCCCUGCUAAAUAAGGUAUGUAAUAAUAUGGAGCUGAUUCUUUAGGUUUUGUUUGAGAUUAUUCUUUUUCUAUUUAUUUUUUUAAGGUAAAAUUAAUGGAUGGAGAUCCUACAAGUAGACCUCUAUGUCUAUAUAUAUAUAUAUAUAUAUAUUUUUUGAAGUUACCAUUUUUCAGCUUAUGUUUAUUUUGAAUUGAGUUACUUAGCGUCGAGGAAUCGAAAAUUUUUAUUGAAUUUAGUGACGAUUCAUUUAAUUUAAUGAUCUUGUCCCUUUCAACUAACAAGAAUAUCUGAUGAAAACAAGUUUAAGUUGGAACGAGCAAAACCUCAGGAAGGAUCUCAAUACAUUUUGAUCUUUUCGCUACAAGGUGAAGGGGAUAUGUAUUUAACAGUAAGGCUUUCCAAUGUUGCUUGAGGCAGGUCGGAAUUGUGACGGACGAGACCGGAGGGAAGGUGGGGACGUUUGCGUUGGCCUACGCUGCGCACAAGGCGGCGUCGCCGAUCAGGUUCCCUCCGACAGUGGCGCUCACUCCGAUCGUCGCGAGUUGGAUCGGAAAGAAGAGAGCCAAAUCAGAGGAGAAGUGAUCACUGAUUACUUCUCUCUCUCGAUGUGCACUUGAAACGCCACCCAUUUUGAUCUCCUUGCUCGCCUUCUUUUCCUUGUGUGUUUAUAUGUGAAGUAGAGAUUUUAUGAGUAGACAUGUAGAUUCAUGUUAUGUUUUGUGUUGUGUAUAUUAACAAGAUGAAUAGAUAUUACUUUUACUAACAUACUGAACUCUGAAGAUUCAUUUUCCGACAAAAAUUCGCCAAUUGAUAUUCGGAGAAGUUGAUUUCUAGCAAAAGAUUUGUCACCAAAAUUAUGUAGACGACUCAUUAGUCAUUAUUGCCUAUGCUUUAAUGCAAACCCUCCAACAGCAAAAUGAAAUCCAAGUUUUCAAUAGUCCGUAAGUAGAAAACAUCAUAACAAACUUUGCGAUGUCUAAUACCUCAAGAUUAAAGCCAGGGACCAAAGUGAAACUCAGACCUGUUGGUGUUUUAUGAUUGACAACGCAAUAGCUAUAGAUCACAUACGUUUUAUAGUUCAUCAUAACUCUCACAAGCAACGGAUACAUUGGAUUUCAAAUAUUUGUAGUUCAAUAACAGGAGAAACAUCAUAUUUUCUGAAAAAAUAUAUCUAUAUGGCCCAUCAAUUUACUUGAUAUGUAGAAUAAGUAGCUAAAAACCAUUCUCAUGUUCGAGUUAUUUAGAUCACGCAACUCGCUGAGGAUGAGUCUGCCUUCCAGAUUUCAAGAACUCAAAAAAGGAUGCUCCAUAUUCGCUUUCUCCAUGCCGCUUAUGCCACUCUUCGGUAUAUAAUUUCCGACCCAAAGUUGUUGCACUUAAAAGAGAUAUACAACAUCUAUCAUGCAACAUCCCCCUCAUCUUAAGUACUAUGUUGUUGCUUCGGACAAUCAUUUGCUUGUUUACUUAUGUGUCAUUUAGUUUUAGUGAACUUGAUGAACACUUCAUUCCUCCAAUUAAAAAAAGAAAGCAGCAGCUCUGAUUUUUACCUACAGUAUUCAGCUUGAACAAUCUCCGCGUUUAUCUUUGUGUUGCAUCUGUAUUGGAGGGGGCGUCAAUUACGCCAGACUCUUGCUGAUUUUGGGGCCGGGGUGUACUAACCUCGCCUGCGAAGUACUCGUCCAUGCUGAAUCUAUCUAUCUCAUCAAUUUGCUGUUCAGCUGUUGAUUCGAGUCAAGUACUCACGGUUGCAUGCACAAAAACUAAAAUAAUAUGUAGAAGGUUAAAAUGUCGACGAUCCUCCUAAACAUAUCACAAUUUGUCACGAUUUGCACUCCCCCCUCUCUGUAUUCACAAGGGAUUAAACUGCUAGCAUUUAUAAAAUGUAAGGGUUUAUUUCUAGGUUUUGAUUGUUGAGAGGGGUACAGGGCAGAUUGCAAUACAUUCAAGAGGUUAUCUGCAUUUUAACCUUGGUAGAAAGCAUAGAAUGAAGAAAAUGAUGAUGAAUGUCUUGAAGGAUACGUGCUGUUUUCCAUAUCUCAGUAAUGCUAGCCACAGAAUCCGAUAAAAGCCAGUAGUCAGCAUCGGUCUGCAAUUUAAUGAAACAAAUCAUUAUAAGAAUAUGUUUACACCAGUACUAAGCGGCUAUAUCCCAGGAAAAUUAUUUGCAUGAUGAAGCAUGUGCAACACCUCAAUUCAAUGCAACUUUUGGAUUGCAGUUUAGACAAAUUUAUUUGUAAUGAAAAUUUACUACUACUGGAUGAAGAUCUAUCAGAAGCAUGUUCUUGAGGCUAGAGCAAACUCUUAAAAUAGAGGUGAUGAAAUGCGACAAUCCUUCCUAAGUGAUAAUUGUUACUCAUAGUAUACAGGGAAUGUGUGCGCCAACCAACGAGAUAAUAGGAGUAAAUUACACAAUUGGAUAUGUUCACCAACCAACAAAAUAUUAGGAGUAAAUUACACAAUUGAUCACCGAACUCAUCAUGCGAUGCAAUUUAAUUUAGGUCGUUGAACUUUCUUUUGUUGCAAUUAAGUCAGUGAACUUCAAUUUCUAUUGAAUAGGGCCACUUCUUCCACCUAAGUUUAAUUUCUCAAAAAUAUAUAUAUAUAUAUAUAAUAGAGCGAUGACUGAGAGGCUGAUUUGAUAAUAGUGGUAUCUCAAAAGGAUAAUGCAGAGAUCAUGUUGCCAAGAAUUUAAUUGCCAUGUCAUCUCAAGGCUAUUUAAUUUACCCUCCACAUUAUCUUCGAUAAAUAACAAUCAGCUAAAUCAGCAUCAUUUCAACUCUUUGAUACGACAUGGUAGCUGAAUCCAUAUCCAAAUCAUCCAUCCCUCAGAGGAUUUUAUCGGAGUAUGAUAGAGUGACCUUGUUGAAAUAAAAACUGAAGUUCAGUUACGUAAUAGCAAUAAAUUAAACUUCCGCUACCUAAAUGAGACUUUACAGUAAGUUCCAUGACCAAUGGUGUCUCAAACAUUGAAUGAUACCACAACGAAUCGUGAGUGAUCGGUGGAAUACUCUUUGACAAUUUGCACUGUAGAAAAGAACUUACAUCAUCAUCUGAAGGAACAAUCUUUGUCAUUCCUCCCAGAUAAUCCUGUGAGGCAUUUAUGUCCAGGGCAAUCCUCUGACCAUCUUGAACAUUUAGUUCUGUCUCCUUACCUCUGCUACUCUCUGCAGCUACCACUGCUUUACAGCUUUCAGCAGGCCUUGAAUUUGGCAUCUGCGUAUUCCUUGGGGGAGUCUCCACACCACUCAUCUCCUCAAACUUCUCCUCAAAUUGACUGAAAAUAGUAAAAAGAUGGAGCUCAAAAGGUGAAAACAAACAAUACAAUUCAGAAUGAACGACGUAGUAAAUUUCCCAUUAGAAAUUAUUUACAGCAUUUGAGGAGAAGAAGACCGCAUUACCUAACAAGGUAAACAUCUAUUGGACCCAUAGUACUUCUUAGGACAAUUCUGUAUCUUCUCUGCAAAUAGUCACCAGCCUGCAUGCAGAGGGAGGAUAAAUUCCAAACGGCUCAAAUUGUCACAAUAGUGAAGUACAAUAAGCAUUGUUAUGAUACUUUAAAUCUUCUGCAAUGUUUCAACUCUCACUUCACUCUUACCUCGUCAGGAUCCGGGACUUCCAGCGUAGUGCCAUGAGGUGCUUUUAUUGCAAUUAGGGUUUCAUUCUGCAAUUAAGUAAAGGAGAUAUCGAUCCUUGUACUACUUUAUUGCGGUGAAAACUUGAUUCUACUAGAAAUUAUGGUAGAUCGAAUAAGAUUAACCAUACCUGAAAGCAGGGCAGUCCUUUAAUGUCAUCCUCCGUGACAUAAAGCCACCUAUAUGUAUGGAUGAUAUUGGAAAUUCAAAGUAAGCAUGAUUCGCUAACUGAAAUAACUUAGCACAAAUACAAGCAUGAAAAAUACAAUUAUUUUUCUUCUCAGAAGGAAAAAUAGGAAACACAAUUACUUUUGAUUAUUAUCGUCUUCUGUGAGCUCCCUUAACUUCUCUCGCAUUUCACUGCACAGAACCUAAUGUUUCAGAGGAUUACCGUACAAAGCAAAGAAAACAACAGUUCUACAGGUUUUGACCAAUGGCCAACCUUAUGCGCUCAUCUACGUUCUGCUCCUGCAAGGUAAGAUUUUCAACUUCCUCCUGAGAAAAAAAAAGAACAAAACAAAAAAAAAGCUAAGAACUUAGUUUUAGCCAUUCUCUUUCAGGCAAAAGUUAUAAAUAAAACAAACAGGUUAGCUCUUCAGAAAAGUGGUUAAAGAAUAAUGACUUUGACAACAGACAAAAGGAAAAAAUUGCACAGAAGCACUAUACCUGUAAUAUUGAGAAAUCAUUGUUAACUUCUGGUCUUGAGUCAUCUAGCCCCCUGGGAGUAAUAAAUUUUUAACUGUUAAAAGGACAAGCAGAAAGGAGGAAAUAUCGGCGAUAUAAAAGAUAAAAAAGUAAAAUUACUUCCAACGGAUUCUGUUCUUGAGUUUCUUUUCAAUCAGCCCGAUCCCUUCAAGAACAUUUGUUAUGUCAUAUAUUCGCCUCUUUUGCACCUGAAAGAUCCGAAGUAAUUGACUAAACUUUGCCGAAAGAAUAGCAUUUCACAUAACUAUGUUAGUAAUGACCAGCUAACCUCCAAUGUCUCUGCAGCUUUAUUCAAAUCAAGGAUGCCAUCUUGUGCAUGCUUAAGCAAAUUGAUGAACUUUUUUGUCAAUAGUCCUACAAAGCAUUACAAUGUAAAAUUAAGUAUGACAAGACAGUAAAUCUUCAUAUAGGCUCUUCAUCUCUAGAGCUGCUGAACUUUCCCAGAGUCGAAGAUACACUACAACUGAUUGGAGUCAUAAGGCUAAGAGUGUUGUAGUUACCUAGAGAGCUGUCAUAACGACAGGUACCGACUGGUGUGAGAGGAUUGCUAGAAGGGGAACCUGGAAAGACAAAAAGAUACAGCUUUUAGUCUAACAUAAAGCGCGCACACACACACACACACACACACACACACACAACCUAUAUACUCUGCAAAAUUAUCUCGUUAUUGAUAUAUCCUUGCAAAAAUUGAGCGUCUUUGUGCCCUUCAGAAACUUAAAGUUCACAUAUUAAAGCUUAAAUUCUAGACAUAUCAGAACUUAAAUUCUACAUAUGUUUCCAGUACUGACAAAAAUGCACCCAUUCAAAAAAAAAUUUGUUAGUAGAAACCAACCUUUUCAAGUGAAUUGUAUCCUUCCCACCUUCACAUGGGAGUAUUUUUUUCCAAGAAACUACACAUUUGAGGAGUCUAUACAGAUAUUAAAAUUUUACUAGGGUAUACAUGUAAAAGAUGAUUUUACAUGGAUAAACAUAUGUAAAAGCUCAUAAAGCAAGCAGGAGCUGUUUAACAAAUAAGCCUUUCCUCAUAAAAAAAGACAGAAGUGAUAAAUAAAGAUCAGAAGGCCAGUAUUCACCAGCAUUUGACAUAGGGGUAUGAGGCCCAGCUUUAUUGUAUUUUGGAGCCUUUGACUUGCCAUGCACUCUACCACCUUUUCCAGAUACUGGAGUAAGAAGUGGACUGCUAACUGCUUCAGCAUAUCCUGGACUAGUUGUCCACUCACUCGAUUCAGCAGCUUCAUUUUCUUCCUGAUCAGCUUUUCGUUUCAACUGCACAGAAAAGAUCAUCACCAAGAGCAAUAUGGUCAGUAAGACAUCUAUGUAUGUGUUUCAGUAGGGGUUAUAUACGUUCAAUCUCUGCCAACAAUAAGGAUCUGAUUGUUAUAUAACUUUAAAGCACCAGUAUAGCACAACCACACACAGCCUUAGACCACAGGCUGGGAGAAUGAUUGAGGCCAUCUACUUACCACAAAAAGUUCCAGAAAAAUGAGAAAAGAAGCAAGAGCAGUCAUCAAACUUUCUCAUUGACCAGAAAAAACCAUAGUAAAUAUAGCAGGAGUCCGCCAUUUUGGUGACAACCCACCACAAAAAAGACUACUAAAUUUCAACAUUAACAGCGACAUAAAGAAAAUAUUUAUAAAUCCUGUUCAGUUCAAAAAAAAAAAAUCCAGUAGCUUAGUGUACAUCUAGUAAGGUAAAACUUCUGAGUUACAUCUUUCACAUGAUUUCAGUUAAAUUCCAGAUUACACUGUGAUGGACACCGAAAAAUUAAUAAAAACAUGUCUGAUCCAAGGCAUCCCCUUGCAUUCAAACUUCUAUGAUGAUUAAACAAAUCUUUAUUCUUUUUCGAAUGAGUCAUAUAACAUGAGGUAUAAGACAAUUCUAAAGAAGAAACGGCUAAAUUGGUUAUGAGAACACAUGCGCAAAUUUUGCUUAUAAUGAUCUUUCAACCUAGAAGGAGAGCAGUGCAAUAUGGUUGCGACAUUCCAAACGGUUCCUCUCAAUAAAGUGAUCUGCACUCUGAUUUACUAGAUAUGAAAUGCACAUUUUUCACACAAACCUAGAUAAUAAUGAUAAUAAUGGAUCUAACUGUCAACACACACACACACACACACACAUAUACAUACAUACAUACAUACAUACAUAUAUAUAUAUAUAUAUAUAUAUAGAGAGAGAGAGAGAGAGAGAGAGAGAGAGAGAGAGAUAACUCAUAGAGUUUACAUUGUAGGAAGAAGAAUGUAGAUCCAUUACCUUUAAAAUCCAAACCUCUAAUUUCAAUUCCUUUCAACUCAUAAAAGCCAUCACCACAGGCAACCACUGAUUAACAUACACCAUGGCUUGAAUCCGAACUAGCAAACAACUAGAGAAAUAUUUCUCCACCAAUCAACUCUACGGGUGGCAUGACCUUUCUCUGUCAGGAGCCAUGGCCUCUACAGAAGUAGUUACAUGUGCAACUUCAAGAGAAACCACAUGUUCAACUAUAUACAAGUUAGCAUGCUUUUCUGCUGAAGUGUCAUAAUAUGUGUAGAGAAUCACAAAUUUGAUAAGAAAUCAAGAAAAUCAAACAGGUUAUCCCAAAUUAUUAGUGGAAACUGUUAUGAUCACUUAGUGGAGACAAGAAGAGAAAAGCUGUGCAGCAAAAAGUAUACGACCUUGGAGUGGCAUUAUGAGAGCGAAAAAGGGAUCUGGAAAAGGGCUUUGACAGAAGGAAAAAAAAAAAAAAUUACUGCAGAACGGAAGUAGGUAAGUAACUUAGAACUCUUUCCCCUCAAUAAAUAACCUAUCAAAUAGCUUGUCCUAGUGUUAUCGUCCUUUAGGCUGCCGAGCAUCAACUGAUUAACCUAAAAAAGAAAGAUCCGACCUAAGCAAAAUCCUCAAUUUAGUAUCCCAGUAAACAAUCGCGAGAUCCUACCAUUGAGCUUAGCUCCCAACACUGUAGAAGCCCUUUGAUUUAGGCUGAUAAAAUCACUAACAAGCAAAAGAUCCGUAAAUGGAAGAGAGACAUUUUAGCUCAUCUCCAACAGCAGCAAAAAAAUUAGGAUCUAGAAAGGGCAACAAAAGAUACGGCAAAAAACAGCACAAACACUUCGAAACCAAAAGCCGACCCUUCAAACCAAGCAAUUUCUCACCAAAGCAACCAUUUCUACUACCAUCGAACGAUAAAAUAAGCAUCGGAAAGAGCUAAACCACACAAACCCUCAAUCAAACGAGAUCGUGUCUCCAGUCUUAGCACAACAGACUAAAACGCACAAGCCACGACACGGAACUCACGGGAGUCUUAAUAACCACGGCCUCGGCCAUGUCGUCGGCGGCGGCGGCGACGCGGCGGCCAUCGGCGGCGGAGAAGCGGUGGUACUCGUCCGGCGCAGGGAACGGCGGCCUGGCCGACGGGAACGGGAGGUGCCGCCGCAGCGGCUGGAAGAUCUUCUGCCCCGAUUGCUGGUUCCCAGCUGCUCGGCCCCCACCGGACAUCAAAUCCGAGCAAUCGAGACCCAAAAUCUCACCUGGAACCCCCCGAUCUUCCGAUCGAGCCCCAAAAACCCGAUCAAAACCCCGAUCGAUGGCGAAAUCCGGGGCCCAAACCCUCGAUUCGGAUCGGAAUCGGCGUGGGAUCCGCGGAGGAGCUCCGAUCGGGGAAGGGGAUCUCGGGGGGGCGUCGCCGCCGCGCGGGGAUCGGCGGCGGAGGCUAGGGUUUCGAUCCGGGAUCUGGGGAUUUUGGGGGAGGAGGAGGAGGAAGAGGAGAGAGAGGCGAAGAGGAGUGAGGAGGUUAAAAAAGCGGAGAGAGCAGAAAACGAGGGAAGGGAGGGAAAUUAUAGUUCGGACUUCGGAUAGAUAUGGAGGGAAGGGGCGUGCGAGUGUAAUAUUAGAAAUAAAUAAAUUAAAAAAAAAAACAAUUAUAUAUUAAAAAUGGCGGAAAAACGAAAUUAGAAAUUUCCCCCGUAAAUUAACGAACCACGCUACGUGGUCGCCGGCGAUUGGACGACGAUGACAUUAAGAAAUGUUGGGGGGGAUUUUUUUUUCUUUUUUUCGUUCGAGGGGUUUUUAUUUAUUUAUUUAUUUUCUGUCGGAUGCUAAAUAUUAACGGGUCGGAUCCUCCGACCUGUGACCCGGACUGGAGACCAACCGCUCAAAUCGCUCGGCUUAUGGGGUUCGAAUCGCCGAUGCCCGCGCUUUGGAUCGUCGUUUGCUCACGAUUUUUUUGGAGGAAACCCUAAUACCCGCGGAAAUGUCACAUGAACCCGGUGUACCCGUACAUUUAUUAUAGUAUACUAUUAAUAAAUCUCUAUCAAAAAUGCCUAAAAGAUUUAGAGUUUAAUUACAUUUCAUAAUAUCAAAAAUUUAUAAACUAUAAAUUUUAGAUUUUAAAUAUAUUUUUAAAAAAAUUGUACUGUACAUUCCCGACUUUCGGGAGUCAUAAUUAGCAUGCUAAAAUCAGAAAGAAUAUUUUUUUUCUUUUCAAAUUUAACAUUUUUUUUUAUAAUAUAAUUUUUUUUUUACGAUUAUGUUAUAAUUUUUGAAACAAUGCCCAUGGAAUGACACUCUUGAUCAUAACUUUUAUUUAAAAUUGCAGAUAAAAUAAAUUAUAUGCAAUAGAAAAGGCACAAUUAAAAAUUAUUCAAUUUUUUUUUUUACAAAUAAUAACAUAUUACACAAAUCAUACCAAUUCAUUUAAAAUUAAUUUUUACGAUGUGAUAAAAAGCUGAGUAACAUAUCUCUAUAUAUGAUUUCGCUCCAACAUUUUUGUGCUAAUAGUGGUUGAUAGUUCUUAUAGUAUCAAAUUAAUCCUUGAUACACUAAAUAUUUAUUGCGGCCUAUUCGAUUUUGAUACACGCGGUGCAUGGAAUAUUUUUUUAAUGGGGGAGUGGGCCCAGGGCUCGCCCACGCCGUCGGAUUUGGCGGGCGCUUUUCGCCCUCGUCGGGUCGGGGGGCACGUGCGGCGACGCGCCACGUUCUCGGUGUCACGUGACCGUGGGGGUGUUAACUCGCAAUUGGACCGCACUGUACGCACGGAUGGUUUCUGCGGCCAUCGUAACUCCGUGACCGUAUGUUGUCGUUUUUUGGCCGCAUAAUUGCUCGGAUCCGACCCAAUGCUGGUCCGGACCACAUUUAGCAAUUUGCUCAAUUUGCCCCAUAAUGGUCCGGACCAGUACUGUAUUUGUUCGUACAUUACGUAAUUUUUAAGUUUACUCGUAUGGUUAAAAAAAAAAAUAGGACAUAAGAAAUGGAAAUGUCAAAAAAAUUUUGGAUUCGUAAAUUCAUGUAUGGUAAAAAUCUCACUUAUUUUUGCUUAGUUUAACAUAAUACUAGUAGCAUUGGAAUUAAAUAGAAAUUGUAGCAUUGCUUUGUUUUAAUGUAACUCGUACAACAAUAGUUCUAUACAUAUUCUAUAAGCGAAAGUGAUUUUCACCAAUUGGUUUUUUUUAUAUUAUUUUUUAUUACUUUUUAUCCUGUGUAAAGAACUUUGGAACAUUUAUAAUAAAUCAACAUAAAAAGGANGAAAUAGAUAGCACGCUACCCGCUUCGUUUAUUUUAUUUAAAAAUAAACUUAACUGAAAAUGUGGAUCAACUAGGAUUCGAACUUGGGUUUCGGGUACUAACCACCAAGCCCUUUGCCACUUGUUCUAGGAACGGUCGGUGAGAAAGGAUUAUUAACUUGAUGAAAAUUGACUUUUCCUAUAAACUUCAUUUUCUCAUUUGUUUUUUGAGACAAAAUUUCUCAAAAACCUUCUUAUGAACUCCAUUUCUCAAAACUGCAAUGGCACUAAAUGUGAUUUGAAAGUAUUUAUGCUGCGCAACCUCUUCCAAUAUUUUAGUUCUGUUGGGCCAAUAAGGUGCGGACACGUGGUACACCGGUACUCCACUCAACUUUAUUUAAGAAUAGUAAUGUUGUAGUGCACCAGGAGCAGCGGAAGAAUUUUUAAACAAACCACUGUGCAAAUUAAGGGAAGUUACAGUAACCGCGAGCAAUUACAAGCGGUUCCGAUCGGCUGAAAAUAGCCCGAGAAAAUAGGGGUAGUGGCCGAUCAUGAAUAUACAAUAACUGAUUAACAAGGGCGAUCUAUAAAUAGGCCAAUAACACCUUAAAAAAGAGUCUUUUCUCCGUAAACAGAAGACCAUCUUUAUUUUCUUUACAAUUUCUUCGCAUUUCUUAUGAGUAGUUUACUUGUAACAUUUUACUUUCCAGCCUUUAUUGUUUUUCUCUAGGAGUAGAAGUAAACUAAAUCAACCGAGUCUGUAUGUCCUCAGGCACACUCGAUCCAUGUACUCUUCCUCAAGUUAAUUUCAAAGAUAUUUAAAGUUUUUUGGCUUUUUAAGGUGAUCAAUCACUGUGUUUUCAUCCAUUCGGCUCUUUGGCCAACCCUAGUUUUUGUGCAAUCCAUAUAUUCGGCUCAUCCAGUCGAACCGAUUCCAUAGUAGAGGUUUUGAAACUCGGCUGAUUCGAUCCUUCAACAGCCAAAUCGCUUGAUCUAGUCGAUGGACGCAAACUUCGAGGGUCAUUAAUCAUAGUCGUUCCGCACCCUGCAUCAUUUCCGAGGGAGAUCUUUGACCAGGUCAAAGAUCAGAACGUACGGCUACCAACAAGUUCAAAUUACUUCAUAUGUAUUUCAAUCACACAAACUAAAUACAUACAAAAUUAUCUAACAAGUUUAGCAAUUCUAACCCAAAAAAUAUAUAUAUAAAUUUUAUAGGAAUUCCAAUACGAGUGACUAAUGAGCAAAUAACAUGUAAUGGGUCAACCCGCUAGCAAUAAUAAUUCGUUAGGUACAAACCACUGAUUCAAAAUGCCUUUUUUUUUUUUUGAGAAAAAAUGCCUAUUAUUACUAGCAUGUAUACCGCAUAUAUUUUAAUGAGAAUUACUUUUCCACCCGAUGUAUGCCUCAUAUAUUUUAAUGAGAAUUAUUUUUCCACCCGAUAUGGUAGACUUGACCAGAAUUACCAGUCGAUAUGAGAUUCUAGAGGUGGCUCCUCCAACUAACAUUCGGCUUUGAUACUAAUUGUAACGGCCCGACCCGCUAACAAUAAUAACUCGUUGAACCCAAACCACCGGCCCAAAAUGGUAAAACCUGGUUAUUAUUGCUCGUAGGCUUCAUAUAUUCCAAUUAGAAUUAUUUUCACAUUCGAUGUGGGAUUAGAUCACAAAUACAUACCAGAAUUGUAAGGCAAUGUGAGAUUCUAGAGGUGGAUCUUACGGGUUCAAGUUGGGUCCAAACUAUAUCACAGAAACUGGUCAGAAUUACCAGACAAUGUGAGAUUUUAGAGAUGGCUCCCACGGUUUAAGAGGUGACUCCUCCAGCUAGUAUCCGACUUUAAUACGAAUUGUAAACAACAUGACCCGCUAGCAAUAAUAACUCGUUGGAUCCAAACCACCGGACCAAAAUACUUAAGCCCGAUUAUUAUUAAUUGCGUGUAGGUCUCGUAUAUUCUAAUUGUUAUGAUUAUUUACGGGAAAAAAGUAUAGAAUAGUAGUUUUUUUUUUUUACUUAUGUUGCAACUGAUGUAGCCCUACAAAAGUUAUUCUAAACUUACUAUUUAAUCUAAUUAUUUUUUGACAAUACAUCCUAUUGCUUUUUCUAAUGUAUAAAAUAGCCCAAUUAUGAUUCCAAAAAGAGCAUGCUAAAGAUUAAUGCUUCUUCAUUCAGCAAAUGUAGCAAAUAUAUAAUCAAAAUCAAAAAAUAAAAAUCCCUACCAUUUAAAUUUGGACCCGUAUAAUACGUUGUACGGUAAAGUGUAAAGCCAUUGUUUACGCUAUACGUACGAAUAUACGCUCCCGCUCGAUACCGGAUCGUGUGGCUCCGAUCAUCCCCUAUUUAAAAACCCUGAUCCCCAUUUCACCCAAUCCCCGUCCCCAAAACCCUCUCUCCUCUUAUCCACACCACACUCCGUGACCGAAGCGAGAGAGAGAGAGAGAGAGAGAGAGAGAGAGGGAGCUCACCUCCGUCGCCAUGGCCAUGGCUUGCGCGUUCUCCUCCAUCGUCUCCUCCUCCAACCCAAGAACCCUCUCCUCCAACUCCUCUCCCAUGGCGUCGCUCCCCCCCGCUCCCGUGUCCGUUCCCAAAACCCUAGCAGUUCCGAGGAGCUUCCACGGCCUUCGGAAGGGUUUCCACCCGCGCCCUGCUCCAUCGGUCUCCGCUCCGAGAUCGGCGAAGAGAAGCUUCGUCGUGAAUGCUUUGAACGGGGUAUUGUUCUUCUCCUAGCUACAUUUAUCGCACUUCGUUGUGGUUGAAUGCUUUGUGCUUUGUUAGCCUUAUAUUUCUUAUCCUAUUUGCUUAUUUUUCCAAAAUAUGUGCGGAUGCAGUUCUUAUUUGGUUACCUACGAUCAUGCUUAGUAGAUUUUGCAUAUUCGAGUCCACAAAUAGUCGAAUUCGUCUAUAAACGGUGUCUAAGUGUUAUUUCGUAUGCGGUCCCUUGGUUUCUAUGAAAUGUUCACUGAGUAUAUGGCUUUUGUAGAGUGAUUUGCCAUUGGUUGGAAAUAAAGCACCAGAUUUCGAGGCGGAAGCAGUUUUCGAUCAGGAAUUCAUCAAGGUAUAGCAAUUGAUAGUAGCGGCUUUUGAUUUGAAGUCCUUUGUUUUUGCUGUCUUUUGCUUUCUCUUCUGCUUUCAACUAUGUGUGAUAUUGAAUGCUGAAAUGUAAUUUUGCCCUUAGUCACUGUUAUCCAUAGUUCUAUUCUUUUUUUUUUUUGGAGUGAUAGGCGCUGUAAAUGUAGUUGUUGCUAACUCUUCUCUCUUUGUUUGACGCUUCGAAGUAUCCUGUAAGAUAUUGUGCAAUGCAGUUUCCAGCUUACUCUUGUAAUGCUCUCAAAGAAGAAUGACUUUGUGAUAUAUUAUAGUAAAUCAGUGAAUCACACCACUUAUAUCUAUUUUUCAAAUACUAUUGGUCCUUUUGACAGGACAAGUGUCAUUUUGAUUUACUUCUUUUGAGUUACUACUGAUGCAAAAAUGCACCCUUUGUCUAACUUGUGUUUGUUUCCAUCCUUUUUAUCUAUUGCCUUUUUAUCUAUUUUGUGUUAAAUUCUUCUAGUUAAUUUGAUAAUCUGUUAAAAUAGCUGAUGUAUUUGACAAACACCAAGGAAUUUCCUGUGACCUGACGUAGAAUAAAUAUAAAAGAUAAUAAUUGAGUUUUAGUGUUUGUCUUUUAUGGCCUUCGGCAAGUACAUCCCAAAUAAGGACCCCCCAAAAAUCAAUUAGUCCAUCUGGCACGUCUGCCCUUAUAAAUUAGGUGUAACUAAGUAGGAAAUAGCACUUUAUGAAGCCUGCUCAAGAAUUGGAUUGGAAAGAGGAAAUGAUAAGAUUUUGGAUGCCAAUUUUCACUAUGGUGCAAUGCGUUGAUUCUAUCAGGAAUUUGAGAAAUUUUCUGUUGUCUCUAUCUUUAUUCCUUCCGUUAAAGCAUAAUUGAUUGGAAAUAUUCAUUUAAAGUCUUUAAUAAUUUUGGUCAUGCUGUUACAGGUCAAACUCUCGGAUUAUAUCGGGAAGAAAUAUGUGAUUUUGUUUUUCUACCCACUGGACUUCACAUUUGUUUGCCCUACAGGUAAACGCUUCACAUUUACUGACAUUCAUCUUGAUUUUGGUGGGCAAUUUUCCAGGAUAGUUUGUGUAGAACAAUUUUUUUUAACCCUUUUCUGUUUUUGAUUUUCUGUGCAGAGAUUACUGCUUUCAGUGACCGGUAUGCAGAAUUUGAGAAGGUUAACACAGAAAUUCUGGGCGUUUCAAUUGACAGUGUGGUAAAUUACUCUUUUCCAUUUUAAACUUUCAUUCGUCUUUUGGCCUACUAUUUUCAAACUAAAGUAUCAACUGCAGAAUAUAGACACUUUAAAAUUUUUUGUCAUUUCUAACCUGAACGUUCCAUGGACAUGUGUCUAUUAUGUGUGCAUUGCGUGCCCCUUGUCCUCCUGUCAUUCAUCAUGCGUCCAUCGUGUAUCUACUGCAUGUCCUCGUGAUCAUGCACGUCCAUUGUAUGUCCAAAGGGUGUCGAUUACAUCCUGUAAAAGAAAAUGAAGAUACUUGAGUACUCAAUUUUCUAUUCCAGUUCACAUAGUUUUCUAAGUGAUUGCUGACAUAAAAUUAAAUAUUCGAGUUCUUUAUAAUAUAUUGCUAAUUCUUUGGAUUGAAGAUAUGCUUUAAAUUACCACCGUGAUUGUUGAUUUAAACUUUUCAAUUAAGACUGAUCAGUUGCUUUCUUUAGUGAGGAAAUCAUUAUGUUAAUGCUGUUUCUUCUAAAAACAUAAUGAGAAUGUAUUCAGAUAGAUCCGUUUAUUACCAAGUUGACGAGUUGGUGUGUCCAAGUUGUGCUAUGUCAUGUAUCCGCCUAAGUUAACUUUCAUGCAUUGCUGAUAAAAUUUAAGGCACAGGAGAAAUGCCGUGAGAAAUGAUCAUUGAUGAAUUAUGAUUUGUUUUUAUAAUUUAAAAAUAAAUUAGAAGUGGUUAAAAGCAGAAAUCAUUUGUACGUGGAUCCAAACUUGUGUCUUUAACGUGUAUCUCUGAUUCUGAUAUUAUGGUACCUAUUGAAUAAUUUGUAGAUUAUACGCUACAUAGGCUAAUUAGUAUAGAGUAUUUAAAUGUGUUAACACGUAAAUUUGUAUCUCUUAUACCAUCUUGUUUGUGAUUUACUUUCUUCUGGAUAUGUAAUCUGUCUUAUAAUACUGUAACUAUUUGCUUUGUGCAGUUCUCCCACCUUUCUUGGGUUCAAACUGAUAGGAAGUCAGGGGGCCUCGGAGAUCUGAAGUAUCCCCUGAUUUCUGACUUGACAAAAUCAAUUUCAAAAUCUUAUGGUGUCUUGAUUCCUGAUCAGGUGCCAAUUUGUUUAUGUAGUAUUAUUUGGUUAGCUGAAGUUCUAUUCCAUAUGGUUUAGAAUUUUUUGGCUAUAACUACUGCAGUGGAAAUGUGGAAUGAUUAAUAUCUGUAUCGAAAGACUUUCUUCAGUUUCCUGUUAAAUCUGACAGGGUAUAGCAUUGCGAGGAUUGUUUGUCAUUGAUAAGGAAGGAGUGAUUCAGCACUCUACUAUCAACAAUCUCGCCAUUGGUCGUAGCGUCGAUGAAACCAUGAGGACUCUUCAGGUAAAUUAACAGCAAGAAUCAGAAUUGGAUUUUGCAUUGAAGUUUUGUGAUUGUUAACUUGUUUAUAUAGUAAUAGCAUCAAAACUUGUAUGGUCGCUAAGAACUGUAUUUUUAUGCGUGCAGGCAUUACAGUAUGUCCAGGAGAACCCAGAUGAGGUUUGCCCUGCAGGAUGGAAGCCCGGGGACAAGUCGAUGAAGCCGGACCCGAAACUCAGUAAGGAGUACUUUGCGGCUAUUUAGGUUUGAAAAGCAAAAUUGGCGAUUGUUGUAUUGUUUGUUAGAGGUACAAAGGAGUUAUUUAUCAACCUGCGAUGUGUCCCAUCCUUUAUGAGUCUGGUAAAUGUGCAUCAGUAUCUUGAACAUUUCCUCCGACAACUCUCUGUUUUUUUUUUUGAAUAAUAAAAGAUUAGUUUUUACUCUUUAGGUUGUUACAUAGGUGUUUUCUUGACGGUAAUUAUAGACCUUACUUGUACUGUAACACUUGUAGGUAUGUUAGAACUAACUGCUUUUAAUUAAGAAAGUGAUAGAAUAUUCUCUCAAGUAACAAAUCUGUCAGGUUACAGAAUAUUCUGUUAGAGAGUUAAAAAAACACCAGUAUGUGCUGAUUAAUGUAUUCAAAUUCAACACUAUAAAGUUGAGUGGUAGAACCAAAAUUUUAAAAAUUAAGUUGCCCAUUUGAAAACGUUCUUAGAGUUCAUGUAAGAUCUGAAAAUUUUCGCCUAUAAUUGAAACAUCUAAUGUUCCUGUUGUGGUCCUUAAGCUGGAUUUUGAUAGAUCCAAAAUGAUGAGAACCCAUCGCUAGGUUAUAUUGUUCUGUCUUCUUAGGGCACAUUUUAAUGCUGAAGUUUAUUUAUUCGCUGCAAAUAAGCGGAUUAUGUUGUCUAAGAUGUGAGAAAUGAGUGAAAAUACCGAAGAAUACAUGUCGGUCGUCGCUACAACGUUCUGUUGCUUCUCCUUCUGCUAGAUGAUGGGUGUUAAAGAGUGCUUUGAAACUUCGACGUCAUUGUUUGGUCCCAAGAUAGUGAAAAAGUAGUGUUUGGGACCAAAAUUAUAUUUUGGUUUUGUUAAUAUGUACAUAAGGUCCAUCAGUUUAACUUAGAAUUUGAGUUCAGUAAAUUUAAUAUCAAAAGAGAGUUGGUGAUUCUUUUAUAUGUACCUGCAUAACCUUCUACUUUCUUUUAAAUUAAUAUAGCUAGCAAAUUUACUGCAGUGUUACAUAUGAUCUUUUGCACAUGAUCUUAACGUAGCCUUAUUGUUUUACGAGCAUUAAAACUAUUCAUAUGAUAAUGCUACUAGAUGGUUUCAGAAACGUCUUAUCAUAGUAGGUACUAUACUGGGGAUUCUUUUGGACAAGUAAUGCCAUAUUAGUGCUUUUAGUUUUCACUCCAUGUGGUUCUUUACUUAAAAGAAGUACUCCAAAUGAUAGAGUUUGAUUUGGGACAUAGAAAAGAUAAGAUUGUGAACUAAAAAAAUAUUGGGGGAAAAAAAAAAGAAAGAAAAAGUAGAAGCCUACUUUUCUUUUACAUCUAACAUGCAUUGCUUGUUGUGCCAAAAUUUUUUAGUAGUUGGUAACUGCUAAUGAUUGUGUAGGGAGUUAAAAUUGUGAGAUUCUAUGGUAUCCCUUUAACUACAUUCCUUUUCCUUUGAUGCACAUCUUUUGUAGCAUUGCAAGGUACUUUUCCCUUUCUAUUAUUAGACUCAUGCACAUUUAGUUUCUUUUGGACCAUGUAAGGAAAAAGCUUUUGACUGUGACCUGGAUUAAUUUGAAGAUAAAAGCGCAUUGAAAGUUUGUAAUUAUUUCCUUUAUUUCUUUUGAGCCAAAUGUUCUAGUGCUAGUUUAGUUUUAUGGGUAACGAAAAGAAAAUCUGUGUUGUUUUACUUAAACAGAUUAGUCGCUAAACUUAUAAAAUUUCUCGCAAUCUUUGUCCUGUUAAUUAGAAUUCGGAAAAGUUUUUUCUGUUCAAGUUGAAGAAUAUGAAAUCAAAUUACAAUUUCAGAGCAGUAAAUACUGAUUCCUGCAAUUUUUAUUUCUCGAGUAAAAGAAGACACCAUGAAUAUAGAGGAAGAUGUCUUGGAAAUUUCACGUAUUUUUUUUAAAAAAAAUCAUAUAUAAAUAAUCUCCAACGGAGAAUGUGGAGCUCUACUUUCUAUGCAUAUUUACCAUAUCAUGGAUCAAUACCAAUCCAAACAUCAUAAUCUACAACUAAAGUGUGUUUUAACUUUAAUAAAACGUGUCAGUGCCUUAGAAAAAGCAAAUCAACAAUGUUUUAAAAUGCUUCAAAAAAAAAGUUAUUAAAGUGUUUAUAAAUUUUGGUGAUGUAUAGGGUGGCGGUGCUACUAUUGAUCCUUGUUGUAUCACUAUCACACCCACCCACAAAAUUAACCAAGAGAAGGGACAAAUGUGUGAUGCUCAAAAGCUCUAGCUUUUUCUGAAAUGUUGAUUUUUGUGCGUUUUGAAACUGCAAUUUCCCACAACGCAGAGAUCUAAAUUUUUUGCGUUGGCUCGCUUUAUUCCUCAUACGCUUUUAGUCCAGAGGAAAGGAAUUAAGCCGUACACAGUUACCUAUUCUUUUGGGCCCGGGUCCACAUUUUAAAGAGGUUUUAUACUAUUUCUAUCCAUUUUUAGUAGGCCCUGUUAUAGUUUUAUAUACAUAUGAUCAUAGUUACAGGCCCACAUUUUAUUUAUAUGGCAUUAAUGAGCCAAGGAAGGUACCAUUAUUAAUUGAACAAGUAGGGUUAAAGUUUUUUUAAAAAAUUUUUUAUAUCAUUAUGUUGGUUAUCUAUUUGGCAUAGUUUUCGCAAUCACUUUUUACACAUAGAAGCAGUAGUUGGAUGUUUGCUAAUAAAAAGUUCAUAGCUAGAAAUUAGAAGAAAGAGAGUAGAGAUCGACCGAGCCUUAUUUCAUCAACUCUUUAGUGAUAAUCUCAAUCUUUUGACUAAGAGUUACUCGAUUUUAACAUGUACAUAGAUUUGGUACUAAAAUCAAAAUUAUCAAAGCGCAUGGAUGGAUUUACCUCCAAAAAGAAAGAAAAGAAAAUUGAUGCCCAUUUCAGAAUUGGUUUUAUAUCUCAGGAAUGGUUAAGUAUGACUUUAUAUCAAUUCCAAUAAGUUGUUAAAUCAAUCAAGAUAAAUUAAGAGAGAGAGAGAGAGAGAGAGAGAGAGAGAGAGAGAGAGAAGAGAGAGAGAGAGAAGGGCUGUGUCAUUGGAUCCUGGAUGUCCCACCACAUGCCUUAAACACACUUUUCCCACCACAAAAUCCACUUUGGACCCAAAUUCACCCUCCCCUACAAGAAAAGAACCAUAAAUAUAUAUAUAUAUAUAUAUAUAUAUAUAUAUAUAUAUAUAUAUAUAUCCCUCCCACCCCCUCCAAAAAGCAUAUAUAGAAGCUCAAAAGAACUGAAUAUAAAGCAGAUAGCUACUUCCACAUAACCAUCACUUCAACUUCCCCCACUCUCUCACCACUGCAGUCUCACACUCACCACACCCCCCCCCAACCUAGCUCUCUUAAUCAAUCAAACACCACCAUUAAUUUCCAUAGAAAUUAAGAAGAGUAGCACAGUAGCUAGAGAUGAGAGCAGGAGGGUGCACAGUGCAACAAGCCCUAGCCCCGGAGGCGGCGGCUAUCGUGAAGCAGGCGGUGAGUUUGGCGCGGCGGCGGGGCCACGCGCAAGUGACGCCGCUCCAUGUCGCCAGCGCGAUGCUCUCCUCCUCCGCGGGGCUGCUCCGCGCCGCCUGCCUCCGGUCCCACUCCCACCCCCUCCAGUGCAAGGCCCUCGAGCUCUGCUUCAACGUCGCCCUCAACCGCCUCCCCGCCGCCGCCGCCGCCCCCCCGAUAUUCAGCCACCACCACCAUCACACUCACUAUCACCAGGCGAUGUCGCUAUCGAACGCGCUCGUUGCAGCGUUCAAGAGGGCCCAGGCGCACCAGCGCCGCGGAUCGCUAGAAAGUCAGCAGCAGCAGCAGCAGCAACAGACGAUCCUCGCCGUCAAGAUCGAGCUUGAGCAGCUCGUAAUCUCAAUCCUGGAUGAUCCGAGCAUUAGUAGGGUGAUGAGGGAGGCUGGUUUCUCCAGCACACAAGUGAAGUGCAUGGUGGAGAAGGCCCUUUCCUUAGACCCUAACCCUAACCCUAACCCUAGCAAGCCCAAGGAGGUGGUUAUAACCACCACUACUCCUUUUAGCCCAACCCAGGUGAGCAAAGCUAGGGUUUUGGAUCAUCAAGUGGUGAUCAGGAAUGAAGAUGUUGUGAGCAUCUUGGAGUGCAUGGCUACAAGGAGGAAAAGGAGAAUUGUGGUGGUGGGUGAAUGCUUGGCCACCAUGGAAGGAGCUGUUAGAGUGGUGAUGGAUAGAGUAAGCAAGGGAGAGGUCCCUGAGAGCUUAGGUACCAACCUGCAGUUCAUACCAAUUCAACUACACUCAUUCAAGCACUUACCAAGGGAGGAGGUGGAUCUAAAACUUGGGGAGCUGAGGUGCCUUGUGAAGAGCUUUUGUGGAGGGAAUAAGGGGGCAGUUUUGCUGUUGGAGGAUCUAAAAUGGGCUUCUGAGUUUUGGGCUAGUUGUUUGGAGAAGGGAAGAGGCCACUAUUGCCCUGUGGAGCAUGUGAUCAUGGGGAUUAGGAGCUUGGUUUGUGGCUUAAUUGAGGGUUUUUGGCUUAUGGGUUUUGGAACUUAUGAGACCUACAUGAGGUGUAGUGGUGGAAACCCUUCUUUGGAGGCUCUCUGGGGUCUUCAGGUUCUCACCAUUCCUAAUUCAAACCUGGGAUUGAGCCUCAACUGUAGCAGGUACAGAUUUGGUUUCUAUUCUUAAAUCAUCAUUAAUACUAUGUAAUCAAAUUGCACAUACUUUUUUAAUCUCUGUACUAUGUAUAUAUAUAUAGAGAGAGAGAGAGAGACCUCCCUUCUAAAGCUUCUUAGAAUAUUUGAUCAGUUUAGGAAUGAACUUUUGAAUGCUUUGUGAUUUAAUUAUGCCACCUUAUGUGCAGUGCUUCAUUAUUUAAUUCUCUGCUUUUCUUACCUCUUUGCUUAAUUUUCUUGAUUUUGUAUUAGUUUCUAAAUGCAUGUGUCUCUCAGUAGAAAUGAAGAACAUGCUAGAUUUAUCAGAAAUCAACAAAACGGAAUUCAUAUUUCAAUUGUUAAAUUAUUUGAUUCUUUGUCACUUGCAAUUUGAACAAUUUCGUCGGAUUUAAUCUUGAAAGAGCCCUUUAUAUAUAUAUAUAUAUAUACUUUGGUACUUACAUAUUGAUCAAGCAUAGGUUAAUUAAAAAUAUUGGCUUUGUACUUGUUGCAGUGAUUCACUGAGCUAUGCUAAGGCCAAGAUAAGCGGAAAUGAAUCUUCGCUGUCCUUGUUAGAUGGCGGAGUCGAGAGUCAGCUUACAUGCUGCACCGAUUGCUCUUUCAAAUUCAAUAGCGAGGCUCGAAGCUUGAAGAACAUGUCUUACAGAAGCCACAGCUCCAUCGCCUCAAAUCUACCUUCAUGGCUCCAACAAUAUAAAGAAGAGAACUUAAACAGCAAUGAUCAGGUACACUUAUCAUCUGAGUCUCAUGUUAGUAGCAAUUACAGCAACCAAUAUUAAUAUAUUUCUAGUAAUUAAUAAUUUUUUUUGGCUUCUCUCUCUUGUAGGGUUGUCUCCAGGUGAAAGAUCUAUGCAAGAAGUGGAACUCCAUAUGCGGCUCAUCUUGUAGGAAUCGGCAUCAUCCAUCGGAGAUUACCCUAAAUUUCUCCUCACUAUCCCCGUCUUCUUCGAUAUCCUCCCAUGAUCAUAAGCCAUGGCCACUUCCUCUCGAGGCCAAACACCCGUGGAGCGAAGGCUACCCCCGGCUUUCGGAGAACAACGACGAAGGCCUCGGACCCGAUUCAAGAAGUAACUCCCAAGAGAUAAUUAUGGGACAACAGUGUAAUACAAACCCUAACCCUAACUCAGCUUCUUCAAGUGGCACAGUGCAUGGGGAGUGUCUUCCUAAGUUCAAAGAGCUUAAUGCUGAGAAUCUAAAGAUCCUCUGCGACGCGUUGGAGAAGAGGAUCUCAUGGCAAAAGGGUAUAAUCCCCGUGAUAGUGAGCGCAGUUCUCCGGUGCAGGUCAGGGAUGAAGAGGAGGAAAGGUGAGUCGAAGUCGAUGAGCGGCACCAAGGAGGAGACUUGGUUGUUCUUUCAAGGAGUUGAUACUAGUGGGAAAGAGAUUGUAGCUAGGGAGCUAGCAAAACUUGUUUUUGGUUCUUAUGACAGUUUUAUCUUGGUUGAGCUUAACACUUCCUCAUCGACACGGUCGGAUUCUAGUGAUGAUCGUGCAAACAAGAGAUCGAGAUUGGAGGCGAAAGAAAGCUAUCUCGAUCGACUCUUUGAAGCUAUUCGAGAAAAUCCGCACCGUGUAAUAUUGAUGGAGGACAUCGAGCAAGUUGAUUAUUAUUCUUUACUUGGUAUUAAGAAAGCAAUUGAGAGUGGAGUGAUUCGGAGUUACAAUGGCGACGAAGUUAGGGUUGGUGAUGCUAUCAUUAUCUUGAGCUGUGAGAGUUUCGACUCGAGAUCGAGGGCUUGCUCUCCUUCAGUUAAGCAGAAGGUGGAGAUGAGUGAGGGCGAGAAGGAAGAAUCAGAAGAGAUAAGCUCAUCCAUGUGUUUGGAUUUGAACAUUCGUAUCGAAGAAGAUGUGGAGUGUUUGUUCGAUAACGUCGGUCUCAUUGAAGCAGCGGAUCAAGUGGUCUUCUUCAGAUUGCCAGAGGAGUUGUGAUCUGAAGAUAUUUUCAUAUUUUUUUUCUUUCUUUCUGAAUAUUUCCUUCUCUUUUAAUCUUUUCUUCUUUUUUUCUUGUUUGGUGAGGUAUAAUUUAAAAAGAAAGAGGUUUUGGUUGCUUAAGUUAGAAUUAGGAAGUUGAAAUACUUGUAGCUUGUCCUGUGGUAUUGGUUUAUGGUUUUCUUUUUCCCUUUUUAUUUUUUCUAUAUGAAUCUCUAUAUAUUAUCAUAUCUUAGUUGCCAAUAUAUAUAUGUGACUGUUAAUAUAAUGCCAUUGACUGUGGCUAAUCAUAAAUUAAAUAUAACCUUAAUUCACCAUCCAAAUCUAUUCUCAUUAGGAACUCUUCAUCCACACUAAUACUAGAUUAUACACAUAAUUUUUUAAAAAUGGACUGCACAUAAAUGAAAAAAUCACUUUAAUCCUUUUCCUUUAAUUAGUUGGAAUUGGUUCUUAUUAAUUAUUGGUAGUUAUUUAUCACAUAAAGCAUAUGCUCAUUAAACCCUUCAUCUCUAAUCUGAUCAGACAACAGGAUCAUUAAUUUAAUUAAACACCACAUAAAUUAAACUAGUAUUGUAUUCCUCAGUAGGUUAUAAUGCAUGCACUAUCAGACACAAUAAAGCCUUGCUUGAUUAGGGAAUAAACAAGGUUUCCAAAAUCACAAUCACUAAUUAAUAACACAAUCACGAAUAGGCAACCCAACUUAGAUAUAUGGGACUAAAGUACCAACAUAAUGAUGGCAUGAGGCAUAUGUUACUAUUUCCCAAAUUAAAAGAAAAAAAUAGAAGGUGCAUAAUGAAGGAUUAAAGAAAGAUUCAUAACUUAGGGUUUGUGCAAAGGAGGGGUCACUUUAGGAGGCAAAAGCACAAUCUUCCUUAAGAAAUAUCAAAAGGGCACUACUUUUAAUGCAUUGCAAUACGAUUUAUUAAAAGAAUCCCUUUCCCUUGCUUUAGAUAUGCUAAACCUUACAUUCUCAUCUUUGGAAAGUGGUGGGUGUGUGUGAAAAAGCUCAACACAAAAUAAAGACACAGCAUCUGUGUUCUUUAUGCUAUAAAGUUGUUAGUGCCUUAGAAUCCAAAAAAGAUAAUCUUCUCUAAUCUCUUAACCUUUUUUUUUUUUUUUGAGAAAAAGGUAGCACGCUAUCUGCUUCAUUCAAUUAGACGAUGAACUAAGCUACAUGGGUGAGGCAGCAGGGCCUCGAGAAGGGCGAAAAAGCGAAAAGCAGGAAAAAAAAAACACCUAUCUAUAUAUAUAUAUAAAUAUAUUAACUCUUUUGAAGAGUUACCCAGUAUCAUUAUGUCUAUCUACUGGAAGGAGAUGCUCCCAAAAGCUCUUCAGCUGAUUAAUCUCUUAACCUUAUUAAAACUAAAUAUCUCCACUGUAAAUAGAGAAUUCGACGUUUGCGAAUUGAAAACAUUAUAUGUGAAUUAAAGCAUUAGGGUUUUGGUGAAUAUAUAUAUCUCAUAUGUAUGGAGUAGGAGGAAAUUUACUCUCCUCUUACAUGGUUAUAGAUUCUUCUCAAAAUCAGCAUUCUAUGUUCUGUCUCUUUUGAUUUACUGCAUGCUUUUGAUUUUUAUUUUGAAAGCCUCUUUAUCUUACCUCAGUUAAUAUACAUACAUAUACAUAUAUAAAUCGAUAUAUUAAUGCGCAUGCAUACAUGAUUUAAUAAAAAUCAUUAGAAAAACAAAAGACAAACACUAAAAUUUACUUAAAAAGUUUAAAGUGUUUUAGAGUUGUGAUUUAAUAUUUUAAUCUCAAAGUAUACAUGCAAGGAAACAAGCUAUUUUUAUCCCAAUAUAUUAACUUUCUCUACAUAUUAAUACCUUUUAAUUUGCUCACAUUUUUUAAGGAUAUUAAUGUGAAAAGUUGAGAGUAUGAAGACAUAUGUACUACUCUUGUAUCCCCAGGAUUACUAAAAUAUACGCUACUUGUUCCGGACAUAUAUAUAAUCCAACCAAAACAAAGCCUAUUUUCAUAUAUAUAUAUAUAUAUAUAUAUAGGGAUUCGGACAAUUAAUUUCCUAAAUUAUCUUUGUUACGCAUAUGAUCACACCUUUCUUUAAUUAUUCGGAUAAAAUCACUUCACAUCACCUCCUAGAUCACAACAAGUAAAUAUCAUGGACGUGAUCUUCCGUAGCUCAAAGUCCAAGAUAUACGCACGCUAUGCAUGUGCAUCGAACUUUAAUUGGAUACAUGAAAACAUACACUAUGGUAAAAUUUGGGGAAAAUUUUUAGCUUUAGGUGUCGAAUUAUAUUUAUUCAUGAAAAGCUAUUAAACAUGGUAUUAGUUAAAAACAAUCAUUCACAUAUGUUAUUGAUAUAAGGAUUUUAGCUAUCUAAUUAAAUAGUUUUUCAUUUGCAUGAUGGCAGAAAUUUCCAUAUAUNUAUAUAUAUAUAUAUAUAUAUAUAUAUAUAUAUAUAUAUAUAUAUAUAUAUAUAUAUAUAAACUAUCUAAUUACACUAUUCAGUAGCUGUCGCGUUUGCAUUUGCAUCGUACAUACACAUCGCGCUACUCUUCCUUUGUCGCUGAUAGUAUAUAUGAGUUAAUGGUAGAAGAGUGUAAUACUUCAUUGCAAAAUAUAUAAAUAAAGUAAAAGAAGAACAAUUUAGAUUGAUCGAACCAGUUUCAAAUUAGUUUUGUAAGUGCACAUUCUAAUUAAGCAGCUAAUAAACUAAUUAACUGUAUUUUCUACAAUUAAUUAGUGGCCUUCAUAUAUGUUGACAAGAAAUACAAAACCUCGAGCUGUGAACUAGGGUAUAAGAUGAGACAUGAUCCUACAAGUUGUGGCCUUUAAGAAGGGACCAUGCAUUAACCAUAUAUUUAUUGCUUGUUAAAAGCAAAUGAUAAAGUGGAAAAGGAGAAACAUAUUGGAUGUACAUAUACGAGCCUUGCAUAUAUACUUUUUAGUUUUUACACCAACCCACCUCCCAUAACUUUGCUGUAGCCAAUCAACAUUAUUUUUGAAACAUUCUCCCUCCCUAAAUCUUCUUUUCUCAAAGUAAAUGAUGCACCAGUCAGAGAUGAGAUGUCUUUUUUUUUUUUUUUUCAAUGCUAAAUGACAAGAAUAACCCUUAUAUAUAUAAAUUAAAUGAUCAGGUAUUUAUUUGUUAUUUUAUUUUUAAAGUAUAAGGACGGAAAGAGAGGGUAACACACAAAGAACCGAUUCUUCGAGAAAGACUAAAACAUUUUUAAUUAAUUUUCUUACUACAAAUAUAUGUAAUCCUAAUAUUUAUUCUUUAUUGAAACCUUCGCGCUUCCUACAUUUUUAGAAAUAAACUUAGCUAGAAAUGUAAAGUAAUAAAAUUUCAAAGUUGGAACCUCUGGUACCAACUAUUAAACCCUUAACCGUCAAUGGGUCCUUAUAUAUUUUCUAUCACUUAAAUAUAUGUUUCUGUACUUGCCUUUCUCCCUUUAUAAAGUGUUGCAACCCUUUUUAGAACCUCAAGGCGCACUUUUGGCAAAGAAUGUUCAUCCUUCGCAUUAAUUAAUCUUCAAAUUAAGGACGCACAAUGAACUCAACUGAUUAUAUAUUUUGUUAUCUUUUCUUUUCUGUUCUUUUUUAUGUAGAUGCAUGUACCAAGGCCAUUUUGAAAUGAGAAAUUCUAAGUCUACAAUCAAAAAUGGUUGUGUGAAAAUUUUAGCCUUUGGAUGGACAUAUUAUAAGAUCACAACAAAUAUGGUUGCAGAAGCAUUACUCUUCAAAACUUUUAGGCCAAUUUAGGCCAACAUCCCUUAAAAAAUAUAUUGAUGAUUAUAAUUUGAAUUAUUCCACCAGUAAGAAAUUAGAUUUUUGGCCUCCAUAUAUAGUUUCAUUUGGCUUUUAUAUUACAACAUAUUCUUAAGCACAUGUAUAUAGACAUAUAAAUUGCUAUAUCCUUCCAAAUGGAACUGCCUAACUACAAUAAGCUGCUUCUUAAUUUCCUACUCACUCAUGUACGAAGACACGAGGACUUCUAAUGCAUCAAACUUUAGUUUAUAGUUUUACUACCGACCGUAUCUAGCUCAGUUGACUAAGGGUUUGAUAGUUGAUACCUGAAGGUCGAAAGGUCGAAACCUCGUUACUUCACAUUCCUAAUUGAGUUUAUUUCUAAAGUAAAUAAUGAAGCAAAGCUUACUAGAACAGUCAUUUGUUCAUUCCUGUGCAUAAAUGUGGCAUGCUAUCUCUCACUUUGCCAGCAACUGUAGAACAAGACAAGUUGCUAAACAUCUUGCUCUUUCAUAUACCCUCAAAUCCCACAAGUAAAUAAAGAGAACCUCCAUUGGCCAAAGCAAAAGAGACUUGGGAAUGAGACAAAGUUUCCACAGCACCGAUCCUUUUACCCAGUACUUUAAAGCUUGUAUGAGCCUUUUUGGCUUACUAAGGGUGUCCUUUAAUUCCUUUGUUUUGUGUAUGAGAGAGAGAGAGAGAGAGAGAGAGAGAGAGAGAGUGCCCUGCAUGCAUGAAAGUGAGGUAACUCUUGGAUCUGGAAGCCUCAGCUACUACAAUCCAACACUGAUAGCUAGUAUGUAUAGCUAUCUAUAUCAAAUAGGUGUAUAUAUAUUCUCACUAGUAUAGACCAUCUUUAAGUACAAGUUUGAACUAUUUUUCUUAUAUAAAUUAAGACUCUCUUAAUUAAUUUUGAGACUUUUUUAUUUGAGGUAUUACACUUGCUCAAGUCCAAAACAAAUUUGUUAGUUAUAUUAGCUAUUUAGUCAUUAAGUGAUUUUUUUUUCUCCUAAUUAAAAUAGAGAAAGAUAGUAAGUUAUACGUUUCGUUCAUUUUUCUAGAAAUAAAUUUAGUUAGAAACAGCUAUAUUUCGAACUUAGAAUCUCGACUACCAACUAUUACGUCCUCAUCCGACUGCGCUAAAUAAUUCAAUUUUAUUUACUAAAAACUAAUUAAAACUUUUAUAUUCUGAAAUUUAAAAGUUAAAAAGGCAUCAAUAAUUUUUUUUUUUUUUUUUUGAUGAGCCAUGUAAAGGUGGCCUCUAGUUGAGGGGCCCUACAUAUAUAUUUUUUUAUAGCUAUCAAUCAUGAUCUAGUUAAUGCCUUGUGGGCAUUUUGUAAUUUUUGAGUGAUGGCUACUACAUAUAUAGGGUGGGGGAUCCAAGAAGAGGGGGGGAUUCUCUGUUAUGUAUAUGAUGCUAAUUCAGUUCAAGGGAGAAGGCCUAGAGGCUCCAAUCCAUGUGCUACUAUAUCUGUCCCUUCUCUUUUGCCCUUUUCUUUAACUUGCUUUUCUUUUGUUUCUUUUUAUAAAUAUUUUUUCUCUUUUUCUUUAAAGGAAAAACUCCUUUGAUCCAAGUUCCAUCUGAUGUUGACCGGUCAAAAGAGGUGGCUAAAUGACAUAUAGGAAAAAGAAACAAAUAUUGUAGGGUAACAAGUUCCAUUUGAGGUGGUUUGGGGGAAUGACACAUAUAAGAGGCAUUUUCAUGGGGAGGGGGACCAUUUUGUUCUAUUUUGUUAAAUGUAGAGAUGAUUAGGGUAACAAAAAAUACGUGGACCGCACCGUUCAUUAUUGUUUUAAGAUUUGUGAUUAUUGUAUAUGAUGGAUAGUUGAUUAGAUUAUUUUUUAUUUUUCGUUAAGAGACUUCAUAUAGAUAAUGAUCAGAAUGGCGUGCACUAUAUAUGCCUCACGUAGCUUUAACAACAAAAAUAACUAUAAUAAUAUAGACAACAUUCAGAAAGUGUCACACUAAUUUUAGAGCGUAUUUAGAAGCUUCAAACUGAAAUUUUAACUCUCGGAAUUUAUUUAUUUUUGCCUUUUGUCUUAAUUAUUAGAAAUUUCAAAUUUUUUGUUUGCUAAAUGCGUUAUUGCUAUAGCUGAAAGUAAAAGCAGAAGUAGAAUCAAUCAAUCAAAUCAACACUGAAAGCACCAAUCCAGGAGGAGACAUGCUAGUACCUUAAUUAUUGCAUCCUUGAAUUGGGGUAGUUGGGGUAUUAAUUUAAAUAAGAGGAUUGUAUCAUUGUAGUGUCUGGUAAUGAAAGCAUACCUUAAUCACUUAAUUUAAUUAAGGUGAAGAGAAGAAUCUUUAUAUUUACAAUAAUUGAAGCAAUAAACUAAUCCAAUUUAAAAGUAGUGCCCUAAUUAAACCUAAUUAAACAGAAUGUACUGCUGGCUCUGAGUAAGCAGUAAUCAUUUGGUGACAAAAGCUCAAAAAUUAUAUGAUAAUAAAAUAUAUAUAUAUAGGGACAUGUUUUCUUUUUUCUUUUUUCUUUUUUCUUUUUUUUUUGUUGUGUGUAACAUAAAACAAAUGCAAAAGCAAGUGAGAACUAAUUAAGAGAUAUCAUAUAUAGAAGUAUAUUUAAUCUAGUGAAAGAUCAUAUUAUCUUACAUUGCAUUAAAUAAGCUUAUUUAAUUACAACUGUAUGUUUUCCACUAUCCAACUUUUCUCAACAAUAUUUGAUAUAUAAAAUCAUGCAUAUUGGCCAAAUGAUAUAUACACUCUUUUUCAUAUAUAUAUACUAUUUUAUUCCAAUAUUAUUUUUUCCCCCUUUUUCUCCAUUUAAAGUUGACAAUUCCAACUACAACAAUGUUUUCAAUAAGAAACUAUUACAAGUGAUAGAACAAUUAACAACUAAGCUCCAAUUGAACAGUAAGCUAGCCAAUACCAAUUAAUGAGUACAACAUAUACUCUAAUACCAAAUUAAGAAUCGAAUAUCUAUAAUAAGAAAUCGAAAUUAUGAACCGAUCGACGAAUCACGAAUGGUCAAUAGUCAACGCUGCACUUGGUCGGCGCGAACGCAGCGGCGGAGCUCACGGCGGUCGGCGGCGGCGGCAGGAGCUUCACCACGCAGUCGACCUUCGGCUUGAAGCCGUGGACCUUGGCGAACCAAACUUUAUACCUAUUGAACAUAACAUAAAAUGCCAUAAUAUGUAAUACCGUUUUUUAACAGCUUAAACUUUUAUAGUACUAUAAGCAAAGCACCUCAGCUUCGCGUGGACCGUGAUUUCCACGCGGAACGCCCCCUCCCCCUUCUCCCUACCAAACGCGUCGCUAACUCCCGCGCCCACGCCCGCCGUGCGGCCUUUGAAAACCGCGCUCACCGCGGUGGUGGUCUUCGGAUGCUGGUAGAAUUCCGGGAAGGGCGAGUCGGCGGGGCCGAGGAGGGCGCCGGAGUAGAAGGCGGCGGCGUCGAGGCGGUCGUAGUAGACGCCGAUUCGGCUGUUGGGGUUACGGAGGGAGAGAUCGGCGGUGAGAUUGAAGAGGAGGGCGCCGGAGGGGGAGAGGGCGAAUUCGGUGAGGGAGGCGGAAUCGACGCUGGCGCCGAUGCGACGCGGGCGGAAUAUGAGCCAGAAAUCGAAAACAAGGAAGCCGGCGAAGAAAAGGAGGCCGCAGAAUUUGCUGCAGCAUCUCGUGCAGCCGUCGGCGCCGGAUGGGUUAGACAUACUGCCCGGGUGCCAGAGAUGGGUGUUUUUUUACAAUUGUACUAAAAUUCUCAUCAACAAUAAGUUGUAAUAAGUAUAUUUCAUAUGUUUUUUUUUUUUUUUUUUCCCUCUCUCGGGGCCUGGCUGCCCCACCCUUGUAGCCUAAUUCAUCAUUCUGUUGAAUGAAGCGGGUAGCGUGCUACCUUUUUCUCAAAAAAAAAAAAGAAAGUAUAUUUCAUAUGCCGUACUACUAAACUUCUCUAUAACAGAUACCGUAGAAUAAUCUCUCUCUCUCUCAAAAAAAAAAAAAAAAAAAAAAAGAGAUACCGUGGAGUAAAAUGCUAAGGCAUUAAAUGUGUCCUGUGAUAUUUGAAAAUUUUGGGAGCUAAUUUUUUACAACAACUCGUAAAAUAAUCUUCUCUAUGUGCACAGUUGACUAAAUAGAGUUUUUUUUAAAUAGAUCACAUUUAUUAUAUUAUUUUUUGUUUUUAGUAUGUUGAUCAUUUAAUAUAAGGUGCGGUGCAUAUGGUGUACUUUGUACACUUCGUGCAGGGAAUAAUUGCGCGUUAAAGUAAUUAGUAGGAUUUAAUUCAUUAGGCCCAUUUAAUGUGGAGGCCCAUUUAUGUUGAAUCCACGUCUCCGGUUAGAGAUUACAACUGGGCUAUUCUGGGCCCAUUAGACCCAAACCUACACAUUGGACCAAGCUCAAUCAAAUAAUAAAUUUUCAAUUAAUUUUCAUAUAUAGGCUUAUUAAACGUUAUAAAAUACAUUUAAUAAAUUAAAUUUGAUUUUGUGGCCACUACAAUACGAUUUUAAAAAUGUGGUGCAUGGUGCACCAGGUGCAUGCAAGCUCCAUUUCUAUCGGGCCGUAUGCGAUUUAUUGGGCCGGGCCUACUCCAAUGUUUAAAAUAUAAUGCAAAGAGAAUUAUUUUUAUUUCGUUUACACCUCUAAGAUUUAAAUUGUUUUUAUUUAAAUCAUCUUCUUAAAUUGAACUGAGAUUUUGUAAGAAUUAAUAAAACCCAUUGUUUCGUUGUCCAAUAAGGUGUUCAUAACAAUUAAUUUUGGAAGAACAUUUUCUCUUUUCCUUAGAUUAUUUUGAUUUAAGGAAUCUGCAUUUAAUUCUCAGAGGAAAAGCUAAUUAAAGCAAAGAUUGAGUUUAAAAAAGUAAAGGCUCUGAGACCCACAUUAGUAAGUGCAUAUAUUUUAACACUGCAAUAAUAUUACUGUACUCAUCUCAAACACAGGACAUAUAUCUCAAUCUCCUACUUUACCAUUUCUCAAUCCACUUUUCUAAUUAAGCACACAGUGAAAGCAGAUAAAAAUAAAAAGAUAAAAAAAAGGAGCAAUUAUAAAGUAUUUAAUCUAGGGGUUUUUUUGCAAAUAGCCCCCUGACAAUUUUUUUUUUUAAAAUUGGCCCUGUGUAAAAAUUAUUUGCAAAAAUGGCCCUGGCCCCGCCCCGUCAGCACCACGUCAGCGCCACGCGGGCGGGGCUGGGCCAAGUGUUUAUAUUGAACACGGUGAACCAUUCACCGUGUUCAAUACAAAAUUUUUGUAUUGGACACGGUGAAUGGUUCACCGUGUCCAAUACAAAAUGACUAAGUGAGAUAUAUUUGUAUUGGACACGGUGAAUCAUUCACCGUGUCCAAUACAAAUAAUUGGACACGGUGAAUAGUUCACCGUGUCCAAUACAAACACCCACAACUUAACCAUUUUUGGCUAAGUCGAAUGUAUUUGUAUUGGACACGGUGAACCAUUCACCGUGUCCAAUACAAAAAUCUUGUAUUGAACACGGUGAAUGAUUCACCGUGUUCAACUUAUACAAUUGGCCCAGCCCCGCCCGCGUGGCGCUGACGUGGCGCUGACGGGGCGGGACCAGGGCCAUUUUUGCAAAUAAUUUUUACACAGGGCUAUUUUCGAAAAUAAAAUUUUUUAUGGGGCUAUUUGCAAAAAAAGCCCUUUAAUCUAUUCUUAAAGCUUCUUAUUGGAUUUUCUAUGCUCCUCCCUUUGUUUUACUAUACUAUAAUUAUUUAGUUAAUUUUUUUAAAAUUAUUUUCUCUUUCAAAUUUAUUAUUAUUUUUUUUCCCUCUUUUAAUAAGUCCACUCUUGAGGGAGAAGUAACUCAGGUGGUUGAAUGGGCACUGUUUCCUUUGCCACCACUGCAUAUUGCUGCUUCUUUUGUUGCUUUUCUCCUUUAUUAACAUCUGAAAAAAAAAAUAAAUAUAAAAGGAUUUUUAGAUACUUAAAAACUACAAUUGCAUUUUAUGGAUAAAGAUUAAAAAUAUACAUAUAAACAGAACUGAUUUCGAUACUAACAAAUAAAUUUGUUGCAUUUGUUUAUCUCAUUAUAAAAUUUUAAAAUGUAAAAAAUAUAUUUAUAGUUCAGGAACUAAAAUAUUUAUUUUUUUAAUAGUACAGAAACCGAUUCGCAAAUAUUGGGAUGUGUAGGGGCUACCCAUGCAUUACCUCAAAGAUAAUAAAUUAUGUACACACAUCUCUCAAAAAAAUAAUAAAUUAUGUACACACAAAAAAGACAAAAAAUAAACAAAAGGAUGGAGGCAAAAAUAAGAAGUUAAUUAAGGGGUAAUUUUUAAAAUGGGAAGCUCAUUAAAAGCAAUUAAAUAAAUAAAGUCUCGGAAAAAAAAAAAAAAAACAAAAGAGCGGCAAAAUUUAACUCACGCGGUUUUUUGUUGACUCCGGGGUUGACCGCGACGCGCGGGAGGAACACCCCGGUCCCACCACACUCCUUCCCUGAACCGGUCGACCGAACCGGGUUGAACUGGACCGCAGUGAACCGGACCGGACCUGGCCCUUGCUGUAUUUUCGAAACCUUCUUAUUAUUAUUAUUAUUGUCAUGCGUAAAUCCCAACGCCUGCAAAUUUUAAUUUUAUAUUUUUAGCAAAAAAAAGUUUAAAAAAAGGUUAAAUUUAUGGAUCUAAUUUAUUUAGAAUAUAAUUAGUUAAUUUUAUUUUAUUUUACACAUGAAGAAAAAAAAAGCAGCUUACUUUAGACUGAGCCAGUUUUGACGAACCAACCGGUCCGAACCGGGGCACGCCCGGUCUAAACCCCUGAAACCGAGACCAAAAAAAAAAAAAAAACCAGAAAAUAAUUAAAGCAAAAUAGGGGAAAAAAAAAUUAGCCAAAAGAAGCAAAAAAGCUUCGAAAGAGAGAGGAGAGAAUGAGACCUCAAAGAGAAGCGAGGGACGAUGAGGAUGGGGAAUGGUGGCGACGAGGUGAUUGGUCCGGUCCACAAGACCGGAGGGGUCGGAUCGGUGCGCCGGGUCCACCACGUAGGCAUGGUGGGGCCGUGGGCCCCAUCCCCCGCCGCAGCGCAAGUUGUGUGGGAACUCCGCCAUCGUCCCCAACGAAGAGUGAGUGAGAGAGAGAGAGAGAGCGUAUGUAUAUAUAUAGAUGCGACGAGUAGGGGUAUUUUCGUCUUUUUACGCUUUUGGCUUUGGCUUUAUAUAGAAGCUAUUCGAGUACGGACGUGUAGUGAGAAGGGAGAAUAUAAGCGCACUUGAAAUUUUGACUCGAUUUUGUACUCGCUUCGAUUCUCCGUUAUGUUUGGGGUGCGAAGUCAAGUUUUGGGGUUUAGUUGAUUCGUCCAUUUUUGGGUGGCGAAAGGUCACGAAGAGAAAGUGUAAAGGAUCCCGAUGAUUGGUUGGUAACAGGAAACGCGUACAGCUGUGUUGUUCUGUUUACACGUGGCGCGGGGAGCGGAGCGCCGCCUCCUAUUGGCUGCUGCGUGGGGGCCAUUUUGAAGUGGGUCCCACAAGUCAAACAAUGGCCGUGCGUGUCCCUUGAAAUGCAAACGGUUUGGUCAAAUUGGCGAGAACCUCCGUGGUUCGCGUGCAGUGGUAACGUACGGGAUGGCCGUACUGCCACGUGGCAGAGUGGAGCCCACGCACAUAUUUUAUGUAUUAUGCGUAUAUAUAAUAAUAUUAAUCUCUACCGUAUAUAUUAUAUACGUUAUUGAAUAUUGAAUAUAUAAUAUUAGAAAAUCUUUCUAGAAAACCUUUUAAAGAAUAAAUAUUAUUUUACAUUACUCAAAUAUGAUAUUUAUAUACUAUAUAUUAUUUGAUAUGCAUUAAACACAUUAACGGUCUAAAAAAACAGCAUUUUACAUCCAAAAUGUUCAAAUUACAAGGAGCCAGGGAGAGGUAUUGUGCACUUCAAUGGCUUAAUAAUUGUUUAACAGUAGCUAUACUAAUGGUAUUAAUUCUUUGAGAAGGAACAAAUCUGAAUGCAUCGAAUCUGAUCAAUUUUAAUAGUAACAAUCCCAUUAAUAGCAUCACCCAUGUUCAAUGGGUUGAGAAAAAGAAGAGAUUUAGGACCUAGUUGAUAUCUAGCCUACUUUAUGAGACAAAAAAACAAAACAGUUAAAAUAAAAUGGGAAAACUUCAAAAACCCCCCUGUGGUUUCAUGCAUUCUCACUUUCAUAUCCUGUGGUUUAAAAUGUAUCAAUUUGUCCCCCUGUGGUUUCAUUUUUCUCUUUUUGUUAUCAAUUUUAUUAUUUUUUUUUUCUUAAAUCAGUGACAAAAUUAAAAUUAAAGGAUACUAAAGUGAAUAUUCGAUAAACAUAGAUGGUUAUCUGAAAUUUUUUGUAUAUAAUUUAACGAAAUAUUAACGAAAAAACUUCUGAAAAGAUAAAAACGAAACCACAGGAGGGCAAAUUGAUACGUUUUAAACCACAGGGUACUAAAGUGAGAAUGCAUGAAACCACAGGGAGGGUUUUUGAAGUUUUCCCAAAUAAAAUUAUAUAAAAGCAUAAAAAAUGUGCUAGUCUUAAGAGGACUGAUGCAUUAAAAAUGUGCAGAGUUGUUGUGUAGUGUUGGAAGCGUGAUUUGCUAUGAUACCACUUGUUGGAACUGGUAUUUGUACUGAUACCGAUUAUAUAAUUCAAUUAAUUUAGGGUAAUUAGCAUUCCAUUGCCAUUACGCGUCUAAGCCACAAAAGCAUUUAACUCGAGCGUGUCCCUAUUUUCGGAAAUUUUAGAAAUGAUCAGGUCCUUCUCAUCACCAGCUCAUCCCAAUGCAACCCAAAAAGAGAAAAAAUAAAAACAGCAAAGUAUUGUUUUUUUUUUUUUUUUUUUUUUUUUUUUUUUUUUUUUUUUCAAUUGAACCAUGCGUUCUAGAUACAGGUGUGAAUCCAAAAUUUCUCUACACAACAGUACAACUUUAACAAGCACUUUAUAAAGUAUGUUAAUGUGAAACACCUCAAUUGGAAAAAGUUGCCUAAUUUGUGUCAACUUUUGGUUAGAAAAAGGACCAGUAACUUACUUUGAUCAGCUUUGUGGGGCCGAGAAUUAUCCAGCAAUUUAACUGGACUUGAUAAAUUUACAUGAUUCAAAGUCUCAAACCUAAUCCACCUAAGACAUUUAUAGGUGGGAAAAGUUAUUAUAUCUUAAGGUUAACACUCAAACGGGAUCAGCAAAAUCACAAGCCAAGGGAAAGACACAGACACUACAAAUUAGGUAAAUAGAUCAAAGCAAGAGUAUCACAAUUCAUGAAAAUAGUUUCCAAGUGAACCUUCUCGACCUCUCCUCUCGUAUCCAUUAGCAUGUGACAAUUUUCUUUUGGCUAAAUUGCACUUUUUGUCAUCAAAUUUUGAGGCUCCUCAAACUUUAAUUUGUUGCAAUUCUGACUUGAACUUUUAAAUUGUUGCAAGUGACAUAGUCUAGUUUAAUUGAUUGAAUAAUGACAUGUCAGAGCUAAUUUGAUAGCUAUGCAAUAGUAUUGUACGAUACCGUGACAAUUAUUAAUAUGCCACAUCACUAUUAUAUCAGCAAAACAUCAGUAUCAAGUCAACUAAAUUGGGCUUAAUUGGACUUCAGGAUUUAAUUGCAACAAUUUCGAAAGUUGUGAACCCGAAAGUGCAACAAGUUGUAGUGUGAGGGCUAAAGAUGUCACGGUCCUCAAAGUUGAGGAACAAAAGUGCAAUUUACCCUUUUCUUCUCUUUCUUUUCUAUCUCGCACUUCUUAUGUCCUGCCAAGUUACUUUAGUUACUCACAUAUUUGUCCUCUCUAUUAUUCUUUCAUUCUCUAAAUAUUCCUCCUUUUUUUUCCCUAUAUGUAUCAUAUAACUGGUCAAAACAAAUUCAAAUCCAAGUGGUAAACAUAUUCAUGCAACUAGAUCACAAGCACCCAAAAGAGAAAAAAAGAUCAACAGAGUUAUGGCUAUCUACUUGCAGUUUUUAUGGAAAACUAUAAACCAACAAUAGUAGUUGGCCCAAUGCUUCCUCUCCCUGUAAAAUCAAAUCUACAGGUAAAGCACACACUAAACAAGCUAAAAAGCAUCUGUCAAUCAAUGUAUAAACUAUUAAGGAGAGAGAAGACACUAACUAUGGAUCCAACAAGUUUUAAGAGUCUCAGAAAAAAAAACCAUUAGCAGCUAGUGGGUGAUCGUGUUAGCUGAAGAGGGCGUAAUCAAACCUGAAAGAAUGAGCCAGCUUUUCGGAAAGUUAAUCGGACUAGAGAGCGGUGAGGGGAUGAACCGUGGUUACAAGCGUCGAAUGCCCUGACUGGGUGGGGACUGAGUCCCGCUUAGAUUGAGCUUUCCCAUAUCCAGCAUCUUCCAGUUAACCGCUGAAGGGUCCGUCUCGAAAGGAAUGUUUGCCUCAAAGCAAGAGGCGGUGCUUCUGCUUCUUCGGUGGCGGCUGGAAAUCAGCUUCAGCUUCUCAGCUUCGUUCUUCAGCGACUGCAUCUGACCUGUGGAUUUUAUCACCAGAAAAAAAAAAAAGAUCAGGAAAAAGAUUUCAUAAGUUCUGUUGAGAGUUAAGAACACCAGAGCAAAAACAGCAAAACAUUAUUACAAACUUGGUUCUUGUAAAAUAAAAAAAAUUACAGAGCUUUUACUACAGCAAGCAGUAGCCUGGGUCCUAGAAACAGAAACUUCAAUUCGAAGCUUAUGUUUCUACAGCAAAGUGAAGCUGCAAUGAAAAUUCUAAUGGCAAAGCAAUUACUACUUAUUUGAACAACUCAAAUAACACUUGAGCAAAAGCUCCAGCCAAUCUAAACAGGCCCUUGCCUCCAAUCAGGGAGACUAAAUGCCACCGAUAUUGCAUCUUGAUAAGAUUUAAAUAUUUCUUAGUUAUUUAGAACACAUGGUUGCAACAGUUAACCUCAUUUUAUCAGUAGACAAUAAAGGCUUUUAUGGCUAUUAAUUAGAUAUCAAUGUUAGUUAAGAGUUCCCGAAUUGUAAUACUUAAAUCAAGGAGGCUGGGCAAUCUUACUACAACAAAUAUUAUCAAUACCAAAGAUUACAAAACUAGGUAAAUAAGUUGCAAAGAGACUCAUACUUACCAUCCUUAAAUACUUUCUCCUGACGAAGGCUGGCAAUCUGCCUCCUCAAUUGGUUAUUUUCAAGAGAAAGCGCCGCUCGCAGCUGAAAGAGAGAAGCAACUCUCGCUGCCAACUCAGCUCCCAAAGUCUAAAAAGGAUACAAGCUCUAAUCAAGAAUUUAAAAGAUUUAAAGAUUUCAGCAAAAAGUAAGGACUAUGUGCUUACCUGAAGUGAGUCAACAGCUCUCUCGAGUUCAGCUAUAUAUUGAAGUUUGCGAACCCGAGAUCUUUGCCCAGAUCGCCUGCAGAAACAUUGAAAAUAUGUGAAACUGGAAAUCAUAUAAUGAUUUUGCAAGGGAACAUUACAUAGCAUAAGUCUUAAGGUAGUGAUCAAAUCUCAAACAUAGUGCUUUCUGGAACUUGCAAAUGGUGCAAUACUUUGGGUGAAAAGCCAAAUUUGGCACCAUCAUACCAAAGAAAACUAUGAGAAAUUAUACAUCCUGAUUUCAAAUAUAUCUAUAGGGUUUCAAUUCAUUUGUCAGUGAAGUUUCAUCUGCGUAAAGAUUUCAUCUGUGUCCAUCUACUGCUUAAGAAAAAUGCAUAGUCAACAUCACUUGCUGCCAGGGCCAACCACAUAAAACACGAUUCUGACAUAACAUCUCUUCUAAGACAGUGUACUAACAAAAGGAGUAUUUGUGCAGGUCAAACUUCAAGGACUAAACUGUGAGAUUUAAAGCUGUGAGAGCAUAAUUCAGAUCAGGAAUUAGACUUCAAGGACCAAAUUUGUGGUAAACCCAUACCACUGAAACUUCUCUUUGCGGCUAGACUUAUAAACCAAGAAGUCAUAGGAAAACUUAAUCAAACCAAGAGUCACCUUGCCACACACCAAGGCUUGCCCGCAAAAGUCGUUAACCAGUUGGUCGGGAACAUGCUACACCGUUUGUUAAUAUAGGCUACUACGCCAAAUUUCUGAUAGGCUGAAUGAUUCUGAAUCAAUAAUCCCUCACUUAGUAAUAAGAUUUGUACAACAAUCCUCUACCAAUCAACAGUCAAAAUAACUGCGAAAUGAUUUGAACAGAAUAACUAAAAAAAUAUGAUAUUUUCCGAUCGGUCAUAACUUCAGAUGGCACGAUUUGCAAGAGAUAAAAUGUAGAAAGCCAACAACAAUUUUGUUCAAAGGAUCUUUUAUUUCACCUCUCUCCCCAUUAUUUGCAAAUCUAAAACUAUGAGAUAAGCAAUCACAGCUCUGUCCUCUCUUUAAAACUCCUGCAUUGUGGCUCAUUCACUCACCAGCAAAAAACAAUCUAGUAUCUGUUUUCCUAUUAGUCCCAACAUUUGCAAAAUUGUUAGUUCAUCAAUCAUGAUACUCUAUGUAUGCUCAAUAAUAUGAUUAAUCAGUUCUGAGAUCAAUCCUAUUUACUGUACAUUCUGUACUAAUUAUUUUUCUCAAUUCCUAAUUCCAAACAAACGUAAGUAGGUUUACAACUGAGCAAGAGCUAAUCUCACCUUGGAGCUUCAAAAAGAACUCCUCAUUUCUCUGACACAUCAGCAUCAAGUAUCUGGUAAAAACUGUAUUAGAUUUUUCGUACUAAUUUGACUAACUUACCUAUAACUUGGCAUAUUUACCACUAUCCCGACUCUAUUUCUCAGCCAUGCACUGCCUAAGUAACUAAUUUGUCCAUAUCUUCCGCAAGUCAAAUAUAUUAAACAAUCAGGGCAGCAUUUGUAGAAAGCUGCAAGAACAAAUGUUAUUUACUAUUGAGUGAGAUACAUUCAAUAUUUUAAGCAUAUUAGAUUUUCUUUCGAGUGAUUCAUAACAUAUCUAAGUAGAUUCACCAUUGACAAUAUAGUCAUAUUAGCCAGAGAUGACAAUUGCCUAACAGGCGUGGAAAUAAUUUAGAAAGAUAACAAACAUACAGAUGACCAGCAAUGAAUUACCUUCUUGAUGCCUUCUCUGGAUCAGGAUCAGCAGCAACACUAUUUGCAUCUACUUUAACACUAGACUCGCUAAUGUUUGAACAAGGUGCCAAAUCAGCAGUUAAGUACUGCAGAGGAUUACGAGGAACAUUUUCCAGCACAGCAUUCACCAUCGAGCUCUCCGAAGUGGUUAACCGACUCUUCUGCCUAGGCGAAUUAGGGCCAUAAACACAGCUAGCCUCAAUCCGACACCCAAUCUCACCUUCCACCUUAAUUUCGGACAAUUGUUCUGAAUCCUCAUUCGAUAUCGAAUCAUCUUCAUGAAUUGGGAAGAUUGGGCUUUGAAAACUAGUCAAAACAUUUAACAUAACAGCCGAAUCGCUCGAAGCUCUCCGAAGAGAGCUUCCGGACGGAAUUCUCUCCGGUUCAGUCAAGAGGUCGUCGAACCAAGAUGGUUGUUCAGUGAAUGAUGCUUGGGAGGGUGACCUAUGCUGUUGCGUGAACAAUGUACCGUCUCUAUUCGUAGUUCCAGAUGGGGAGUCCGGAGUUCGGGGAAGGGAACUCCGGUUCAGAAGUGGGAAACGAGGGGGGAGGUUUGCAGGGCGACUCAUAGUGACAAAAAUUAUAGGAAUAGCUUCUCCUCAGCUUCUGUAAACAUAUCCUUUCUACAUCUUCCUCUUGUUCCUGUACCAGAAACCCCAAAACUGUGAAGAUAACAACAAUGCAAAUAAUCCGAAGUGCUAGUAUUCAUUCCAACAAACAGUAAUCACUGAAACAAGUUCCAAAACACUGUAAAACAUAAAAAUGCACACAUCAACAAAGAACUCUGAAGCUAUAUUGCAAGGCAUUACUUGAGAUGAUCUUAAACCCCACAAACCUAAAGCCCAAUCAGGGAAAAACCCUAGAACUCCCCAUUUUAUUGCUCUAACACAUCAAAAUCCAAGCCGAAAUCAACGGCAUUACACUAAUCUCUCCACCACUACCCUGGAGACAUUAAUGGCGAUCAAAGCAAGCUUCAAUCACAACGAUCGCAUUGCUCCCGAGAUCAAGAAGAGCACAUUGCGCUCCAAAAAAUUAAAACCCUAGAAACCGGAUAUCUAAAACAUCACCAAUCGAACAGUAACAUCAAUCCAACUCCAAAACAACGAGGAAAAAAAGCAGCGACACAACCCUAACCACGUAUUCGCACCAAAAACACUUCAAAACCUCCAACAAAAGCCCUUAAAAAAAAUCAAAUUCCCACCGAAAAAUGCGAGAAAAAAUAAAAAUUAAUGCAUUGCGGCGAAGAAUAAGAACUCGACGGGAUCGGAUUACAACGAAAGCGAUGCGUAAGAGCGCGUAGAUGGGAAAUUAUUUGGGAAUAAUGUGAAUGCAAUGGUUUUAUUUUGCGAAAUUUUUUGGGCGGAGUUACUAGUACCUGGUUGUGUUCUAUAAUGAGAGAGAGAAAGAGAGAGAGAGAGAGAGAGAGAGAGAGAGGGAGGGGAGGGAGGAGAGAGAAAGGGUGUUGGGAGUAUUUAAAAGGAGGGUGACAAUGUAUGAAGAACCCCUUCACCUAUAAUAAAUUUUGAGAGCCCUCAAUUUCUCUUUUUUUUUUUAUUUAAGUUUUCAUACUUAGUUUUAUUAAAUUUAAUACUUUGAUUGAAUAUUAAUCAUAUUAAUUUGUCUAUUUUCAUUUGUUACAAAAUAAUUAAGAUUAUUAAAUUUUAAGCAAUCACUAAUAAAUUUGAUAAAUCUCUCAAAUUUUCUUGACUAAAACUAUGUAAUUUUUUUAAAAAAAUUUUGGAAGUUAAGUAGUCCAAAUCAGAAAAAUAGUUAGGGUACUAUUUCAAAAUGUAUAUAGUGAGGGAGUCUAUGUAAAAAAUCUUAUACCAUCAAUUAGUCUUACUUUUAUUAAAAAAUAAUUAAAAUUAUUAAAUUUGAUAAAAUUACUGAUAAAUUCCAAUUAAUUAUUUUUUUUUUAAAAAUAAAAGUUGAAACGUCUCAAUCAAAAAAGUAAAGUUCAGGGAUCAUUUACAAAUUUCCUAUAGGUGAGGGGUCUGCAUACAUUUUUACCUAAAAGGAGGUAAGCGUGGGGAUGGGUCUCCGUACAAGAAAAGCCAACUGGCGUAUACAUAUACGUACACUUGAUAUAUAUACUUGGUUAUAGUGGCCGUAUAAUACGGAUUAUUAUACCUACGUAUAAAAAUACACCACUACACCAUUUAUCCCCACCGUUUUAAAAUUUUUAUUAUCGAUUGAUAAAUAAAUAAAUAAGACCUUGUGUUAUGUUAAUCAUGAAACCAAUUAAGUGAGGUUUAAGAAUUGGUUCAAUUUGGGCCUAAGCCCAAUCCCUAAUCUUUCAAAUAAUGGGGGCCCGACUUCGUCGAGAACGGCUCGGCCUCGGGCUAGGCUUUUAUUUCUUUUGGCCCGAUGACACAAAUCGGAGUUGUUGGGCCGGAGAUAGAUUUUCGGUUGAACUAGAGUUCGGAUGAAAAUUAUUUUUCUUUCGCUGUUUGUUUUUAUAAUUAUGAGACAAAAUUUUUUGGAUAAACUUCAAAUACCACCCCCGUGGUUUCACACUUUCUCACUUUAGUACCCUGUGGUUUAAAAUGUAUUAAUUUAGUGUCCCGUAGUUUCAUUUUUCUCUUUUCAUCAUCUUUUAAUAUUUCGUUAAAUUAAAUACAAAAAACUUCAGAUUCCUCAUCUAGGUUUAUCGAAUAUUCAUUUUAGUAUUCUUUAGUUUUAACUUUGUCACUGAUUUAAGGAGAAAAGAUUAAUGAAAUUGAUAAUAAAAAGAGAAAAAUAAAACCACAUGACACUAAAUUGAUACACUUUAAACUAUAAGGUACGAAAGUGAGAAAGUGCGAAACCACAAGGAUGAUAUUUAAAGUUUUUCCAAAAUUUUUCUAGUUAUGUUAUUUGUUAGGCAACAAGUGAGCAACCGAAAAGCAGAAGGUGUAAGAUAAAGUUAAUAUUUUAUUCAUUUUUUUUUCCCAUAAUUAACUUCAAUUUGGGAUGGACCAAAGCCGAUUACGCUAUUUUGAACAUUUUGAGUUUCGACUGAAGGUGUAGUUAUAAUGAGCCAAGCAGUGAAAGUGAAUAUUUACGGUCGAAAAUCACUUCACACUUUUUCACUUUUGGUGAAAUAAACACAUUCCUAAUACCUCGUUGAAAGAUACUAAUUGAUAAAAAAAUCCUUUUACAUUAUAUGCAGGUCGCGUAAUUAGUUACUUUACAAGAAUAUAAAACAUUAUAGACACAGUAUUAUUUGCGUUAAGAAAUUAGUAGGUGUCAUAAAAAUUUGCCAAUUAUUAUUUACUGUGUGUUUAGUGAGAACUUUGAAGCUUAUGAUAUGGUUCACAAAAGUGAGUUGUGGCUUGGGAGAAAUUAUUAUCUUUAAGUUGUGGUGUGAGAAAAAUGAAAAUUUGUAUGAUUCAUGCGCGAGAAAAAUUAGCGAAUUUGAAUUGGAGUUUUCUCCUGAUUGAUUGUUCAGAAGAAACAACGCGUGAUUUAGAAGCGCUUUUUCGUCUUCUGCGAUGCUCCCGUAUGCACGAAAUUCAAAGCACCAGAGGGAGGAUCUUUCAGGAACAUGGAGGAAAAUGCCGGUUGCUUCCAGAAUCAUAAGUGGUGGAAAUUGUUAGCCCUGUAACUAGGGAUGCAAACGGGACGGAUCUGGGGACGGGAGAGUUCCCCCACCUCUCGCUCCAUUUUUUAUCUGGGCGGGGCGGAUUCGGGGCGGGUUAUUUUUCAUUUUAUUUUUGGCUCCCACUUACCGCUCCAUUUGGGGCGGAUCGGGACGGGAGCGGGGCAGGAGCGGAUUUUUAACGGAUCGGAGUAGAUUGAAGGAAGAAAAGAGUCUCCCGCUUCCCGCUCCAUUUACUUGGCGGAUCGGGGCGGAUUCGGGGCGGGUUAUAUUUUUCUAUAUUUUUUGUUCCCACUUACCACCCCAUUCNCCACAUAAUCGCACCAAAAACACUUCAAAACCUCCAACAAAAGCCCUUAAAAAAAAUCAAAUUCCCACCGAAAAAUGCGAGAAAAAAUAAAAAUUAAUGCAUUGCGGCGAAGAAUAAGAACUCGACGGGAUCGGAUUACAACGAAAGCGAUGCGUAAGAGCGCGUAGAUGGGAAAUUAUUUGGGAAUAAUGUGAAUGCAAUGGUUUUAUUUUGCGAAAUUUUUUGGGCGGAGUUACUAGUACCUGGUUGUGUUCUAUAAUGAGAGAGAGAAAAAGAGAGAGAGAGAGAGAGAGAGAGAGAGAGGGAGGGGAGGGAGGAGAGAGAAAGGGUGUUGGGAGUAUUUAAAAGGAGGGUGACAAUGUACGAAGAACCCCUUCACCUAUAAUAAAUUUUGAGAGCCCUCAAUUUCUCUUUUUUUUUAUUUAAGUUUUCAUACUUAGUUUUAUUAAAUUUAAUACUUGAUUGAAUAUUAAUCAUAUUAAUUUGUCUAUUUUCAUUUGUUACAAAAUAAAUAAGAUUAUUAAAUUUUCAGCAAUCACUAAUAAAUUUGAUAAAUCUCUCAAAUUUUCUUGACUAAAACUAUGUAAUUUUUUUUAAAAAAAUUUGGAAGUUAAGUAGUCCCAAUCAAAAAAAUAGUUAGGGUACUAUUUCAAAAUGUAUAUAGUGAGGGAGUCUAUGUAAAAAAUCUUAUACCAUCAAUUAGUCUUACUUUUAUUAAAAAAUAAUUAAAAUUAUUAAAUUUGAUAAAAUUACUGAUAAAUUCCAGAAAAUCUCUAAAUUUGCUGGCUAAAAUUAAUUAUUUUUUUUUAAAAAAAUAAAAGUUGAAACGUCUCAAUCAAAAAAGUAAAGUUCAGGGAUCAUUUACAAAUUUCCUAUAGGUGGGGGGUCUGCAUACAUUUUUACCUAAAAGGAGGGAAGGUAAGCGUGGGGAUGGGUCUCCGUACAAGAAAAGCCAACUGGCGUAUACAUAUACAUACACUUGAUAUAUAUACUUGGUUAUACUAGUGGCCGUAUAAUACGGAUGAUUAUACCUACGUAUAAAAAUACACCACUACACCAUUUAUCCCCACCGUUUUAAAAUUUUUAUUAUCGAUUGAUAAAUAAAUAAAUAAAUAAGACCUUGUGUUAUGUUAAUCAUGAAACCAAUUAAGUGAGGUUUAAGAAUUGGUUCAAUUUGGGCCCAAGCCCAAUCCGUAAUCUUUCAAAUAAUGGGGGCCCGACUUCGUCGAGAACGGCUCGGCCUCGGGCUAGGCUUAUUUCUUAUGGCCCGAUGACACAAAUCGGAGUUGUUGGGCCGGAAAUAGAUUUUCGGUUGAACUAGAGUUCGGAUGAAAAUUAUUUUUCUUUCGCUGUUUGUUUUUAUAAUUAUGAGACAAAAUUUUUUGGAUAAACUUCAAAUACCACCCAUGUGGUUUCACACUUUCUCACUUUAGUACCCUGUGAUUUAAAAUGUAUUAAUUUAGUGUCCCGUAGUUUUAUUUUUCUCUUUUCAUCAGCUUUUAAUAUUUUGUUAAAUUAAAUACAAAAACUUCAGAUUCUCCACCUAGGUUUAUCGAAUAUUCAUUUUAGUAUACUUUAGUUUUAAUUUUGUCAUUGAUUUAAGGGAAAAAGAUUAAUGGAAUUGAUAAUAAAAAGAGAAAAAUAAAACCACAGUGCACUAAAUUGAUACACUUUAAACUAUAGGGUACGAAAGUGAGAAAGUGCGAAACCACAGGGAUGAUAUUUAAAGUUUUUCCAAAAUUUUUCUAGUUAUGUUAUUUGUUAGGCAGCAAGUGAGCAACCAAAAAGCAGUAGGUGUAAGAUAAAGUUAAUAUUUUAUUCAUUUUUUUUUUUCAUAAUUAACUAUAAUUUGGGAUGGACCAAAGCCGAUUACGUUAUUUUGAACAUUUUGAGUUUCGACUGAAGGUGUAGUUACAAUGAGCCAAGCAGCAAAAGUGAAUAUUUACGGUCGAAAAUCACUUCACACUUUUUCACUUUUGGUGAAAUAAACACAUUCCUAAUACCUCGUUGAAAGAUACUGAUUGAUGAAAAAUAUCCUUUUACAUUAUAUACAGGUCGCGUAAUUAGUUACUUUACAAGAAUAUAAAACAUUAUAGACACAGUAUUAUUUGCGUUAAGAAAUUAGUAGGUGUCAUAAAAAUUUGCCAAUUAUUAUUUACUGUGUGUUUAGUGAGAACUUUGAAGCUUAUGAUAUGGUUCACAAAAGUGAGUUGUGGCUUGGGAGAAAUUAUUAUCUUUUAAGUUGUGGUGUGAGAAAAAUGAAAAUUUGUAUGAUUCAUGCGCGAGAAAAAUUAGCGAAUUUGAAUUGGAGUUUUCUCCUGAUUGAUUGUUCAGAAGAAACAACGCGUGAUUUAGAAGCGCUUUUUCGUCUUCUGCGAUGCUCCCGAUGCACGAAAUUCAAAGCACCUGAGGGAGGAUCUUUCAAGAACAUGGAGGAAAAUGCCGGUUGCUUCCAGAAUCAUAAGUGGUGGAAAUUGUUAGUCCUGUAACCGGUAAACCCAAUAUAUAUAUAUUCCAAAAAAAAAUCUCUCUUAUAUUUUACUAUUAUAUCAGAACUAGUGAAAAAGUUCGCGCUUUGCAGCGGGUAAAACUAUAGGAGUAAUUAAUAAUAAGAGAACAUCAAAUGAUGACGCUUUUUCCGAGGAUGAUGAUAGUAAAAAUGACGAUGAUCCAUUCAGCCGCUGCCGAGAGGGAAGAUNAAAAAAAAAAAAAAUCCAAAAAAAAAAAAAUCUCUUAUAUUUUACUGUUAUAUCAGAAUAUGUAGAAGAUUCUAAGUUAAAAUUCUGUCGAGUUCUCAAUUUUAUUUAACUCAUGCUCACACUGAGAUAUUUAAUCAAAGUUCACGCCGAGUUUUGAGCACACCUAUCAAAAAUCUUAAGUUCAAACGUAAAAAUGAGUGUUAAUUUCUCCCAUUUAACUUAAAUUUAUAUUUUUUUGCCUAUCGAAAAGUCUUAUGCUCAAAUUAAAUAUUGAAAUAUAAAAAUUAAAAAUAUUAUUUAAAAAAAACUAUUUUGUUUGGAGAGAUAGAAAAAGGAGGUAGAUUAGUUACUAUCACGGAUCAUGCUCAAGUCAUCUGAAUCAUACACUUCGUAAGUAAAGAUGUCCGUGGACCGGGUCGGGUCUGGAUAAUUAAUAUACUGUACUCAUACCCUAAAAAGGAAUGGCUAGAAAAGAAAUAUAUAUACCCUAUCCAUUUAAGGUCGGGUCGGGUCCGGAUCUGGGUACUAAAGUUACUAAUAUAUCCAUCGGAUCUAUUUGAGCGGGUUUGGGUAGUAACUACCCGUAUACUAUCCGUUCAAGACUGGAUAUGGAUUGGGCCUAGAUCAGGUACGAAUAUCCGUAUAAGUAUAUUUUUUUUAUAAACUUUAUUAAAUAGUCUAUGAACAAACUAUAAAGCCCACUAUAAAAAAACUCGCAUUCUAUUAAGUUGUACCUUCCAAUAAAAUUCAUUCAAAAGAAAAAAAGAGUAGAAAACAAAAAAAAGAAAAAAGAAAAAAGUAAUUAGUAAAAGAGACGGCUAGGAUUUCAUUAGGAUGAAAAUAUAUAGUGACUCAUCAUCUAUAAGUCAUAUUAAAAUUGAUCCUUCAACUUUAAAAUUUUUUUUUUUUUUUAUUUACUAUCGGAUAUUUCAUCAGGUUCGGAUUCGGGUCCGGAUUUGAAAACUAUUCUGAACCCUACCCAUUUAAAAGUUGGGUUCGGAUCGGGGCCAAAUCGAGUAUGGAUAUAAAAUAUCCGGACCCAUACCCGAAACUUUAAUGGGCAAUUUUUUUUAUCCGUAUAUUAUUCAUUUUUUAUCGGGUCCGGUUCGGGUCCGGUUGGAGUCCGGGUAGGGUCCGGAUCGGGUAUGGAAUAUCGAAUAAUUUGGACACCUUUAUUUGUAAGUUUUUCACUCCUUUUUAGUCAAAAAUAUUGUCUAGUAUUUGAACCGUGGCAAAGCUUUUUUUUAAUUUAUUCUUUGUAUGCAAAAAAAAAAAAAAAAAAGGUAAAAAUGAUAACAUGCCCUAUAAUAAAUUAUUAUCUUUAUGAUGCUGAAAUAAUCAUUUAUAUAUUCUCCAAAUUAAGUUGCUUAAGUAUUAUUAUGCAAGCAAUUAUUGGAAAAAAGUUAGUACAAACAUUCCUUCAAGCGAAAUAUAAAGUAUUCGUGCACACUAAAGUCCAUUAAUUAAGAUGCUGUAAAAUGCCUAAAUAAACAAGAUACAUAGAGCAGUAAUAUUUCAUUAAUAAUGGUGCGAAGCUGCAAAUAUUGAUGCAUAUAUAUACUUUAAUAAAUAGGAAAAAAAAGCAUCUAUAAUAUUUAUUUUGAAACAAAUAAAACAUAACAUGCCUUCAAUUUAAUUGAUUUAAAAUGAAAGGUAAUGUUAAUUAAUUCCCUUUUGUUAAAGAACAAAUUAGUUUAUUAGAUCUGAUUAAAUUCAGUAAAUAAAUAAUAACCAAAUUUACUAAAUAACACCAAUUUUUAAGACCGGGAAAAUUUCUUUAAGGGAAAACUUCAAAAACCCCCCCUGUGGUUUCGUGCAUUCUCACUUUGCUACCCUGUGGUUUAAAACGUAUCAAUUUGCCCCCCUGUGGUUUCGUUUUUAUUUUUUUGUUAUCAAUUUUAUUAUUAUUUUUUUUUAAAAUCAGUGACAAAGUUAAAAUUAAAGGAUACUAAAGUGACUAUUCGAUAAAUAUAGAUGGUUAUCUGAAGUUUUUUGUAUAUAAUUUAACAAAAUAUUAACGAAAAAGCUUCCGAAAAGAUAAAAAUGAAAUCACAGGGGGGUAAAUUGAUACGUUUUAGACCACAGGGUAGCAAAGUGAGAAUGCACGAAACCACAGGGGAGGUUUUUAAAGUUUU